UUUUGAGUUGGCGAUCCAACCUUUCAGAAUUUUGAUUUUAGCCAUCCAAUCUUUCAAUUUGUUUGAUUUUAGUACAACACUUUAAUUUCAAAAUUUGAAUAUAAGUUUAUUUUUACAGAUUUAAUUAGUAUAUUUUAGACAAUUUUCGCAAUAAUAAGCUUGUUAAUGUAAGUAAUUAGCUUAAAUUUGAAAUCAAAGUACUGUUGAUUAACUCAAGUAAAACAAAUUGAAAGAUUGGAUAGUAAAAUCAAAAUUUUAAAAAGUUAGAAAGCCAAUUUAAAGUGGUUUAUAAUUUGGGUACGUUCCGUUACCUAAAAUAUAUUCGACAUCAAUCAUGCAGUGUCAGAUAAGAUAAUAAAGAAUCCAAUAAGAGAUAAAAUGAUGGUUUUAUCUAAAAAUGAUGCUUUAGAAAAGCAUACGAAGACACUGAUGAGAUCACAAAAAUUAUAUUUUAAUCAGCUUAUUGCUAUAUAUAUAACAUAAUACUGUUACGGAACAAACGAACUAUUUCUUUUACUGCACUUUCUCAUCAUAGAUAACACAACCUUUCCGCAAUUCCAAACGGAGCCCGAAUAUUGUGAUUCUUAUGUAGAAUAAUUGUGACAAAGAAGGUUAAUUUUCUCUUCCAUUUAAUUUGCAAUAUUAGAAUCCCAAACUUUCCCCCUUGUUUUGACAGAAAUUACCCUUAGUUCAGUACAUGUUUCAAUUACCAAUAACUAUAACUUGUUAAUUAAUAGGGAAAACAUCAAAAACCCCCCCUGUGGUUUCGUAGUUUCUCACUUUGCCCCCAUGUGGUUUAAAAUGUAUCAAUUUGACCCCCUAUGGUUUUGUUUUUCUCUUUUUCUUAUCAAUUUCAUUAUUUUUUUUUCCUUAAAUCAGUAAUAAGGUUAAAAUUAAAGGGUACUAAAGUGAAUAUUUGAUAAAUUUAGAUGAAUAUCUAAAGUUUUUUGUAUAUAAUUUAACGAAAUAUUAACGAAAAAGCUACCGAAAAGAUAAAAACGAAACCACAGGGGGGCAAAUUGAUACACUUUAAACCACAGGGGGCCAAAGUGAGAAACUACGAAACCACAGGGGGGGUUUUUGAAGUUUUCCCUAAUUAAUAUUAAUUAUUGCUAAUUUCAAAAUGGUUAAUUAUUGUUCAGGUAAGUUUAAGACAGUACCCAAAAAUACACAAGACCUUUUAGGAGACAACCUUGGUGAUGGUAGUGGUGGUGGUGGGCCUGCAAGGAGGUGGCAAGCAACACCUAUACAUUAAAAUUGGAAAUGAUUCCAAAGCUUUAAUUAAAUUCCCAUACCACUGCAUAUGCCACUGGUUGAACAACAUCUGAUAUAUUAUAUGAUACAAAUGUAUUGAUUUGAGCCAUGGCAUGGACACAAAAUUAAGGAUCAGGUGGGGCAGUGCCAGAUGAUCAUGCAGGGAUCAAAAGGUCUCAUAUAUAGGGAGCUUCCCAUAAAAUUACUAUAAGGCAAGGAUUGCUCUGCAAGUCGGCACGGCCCGUACGUGAUAAGUCUAUGUCAGUUGUGUCGUUAUAUAAAAUAGGAUGCGUGUCGAGAUAUGCCAGUAUGUGGUGUUGUACUGCUAACAUGCCAUUAUAUCUUAAGAACAUUUUAAAUGCCUUCUAAAGCUAUGUGCAAUUGGAGAGUUUAAUAGAAUGAGAACCAUUACUUUCACAUGUUUUCUCCCCAAAUCUUUGACAAGCCCCAACACUACAAGGUUAUGGACAUUGUAAAAUCAUAAACUUUUUUAUAAAAUGGAUUCUUACACAUAACAACACUUUGACCCACAACAACAUGUUUUUCUUCUCUCCUUCUUUUGCAUUGUUUUGAUGUUCCCAAAUUUCUUAUUUGGUUUUUUUUUUUUGAAAAGAACCUUUCUAUUUGUCUCUUUAAAUUUGAACUUAGAUCACCGACUUUUUCCUAGCGUAAGUGACAAAGAACUUGAUGGUUGGUACUCGAGACUCUAAGUUCGAAGACUAGUUGCUUCAUAUAUAUUUCCAGCUAAAUUUAUUUGGAAAAAAUAAUAAAUAAAACGAAGAGCAGGCUUUCUUUCUCUCUGAAAAAAAAUAAACUUAGAUUUUAAAAAUUAAUCCGAACCCUUUUAAUAUAACUUCGAUGGCACCAUCGCCACAUAUAUAUAGUGUAAUUGGUAGGUAUCUCUUAUUUCGUACGCUGUAAUCUUGAAUCAAAUUCUUUUGUAGAAAGUGCGGCGCAUGUGUAACCUCCUGUUCAUACUCAAACCAGACAAAUUUUCUCUCUCCAAAGCUCUAGUGAGAGAGAGAUCGAGAAAGAAAGAAAAAGAGAGAGAGAGAGAGAGAGGGAGAGAGAGAGAGAGAGAAAGAGAGAGAGAGAGAGGGGUACACUAACUAAGCGCACUGAGGAAAAAAACAUGCAUCCACUAACUUUUUCCGUGCUUGCUUUGUACCAUUCAGUGCGGAUUACUUGUCAUAUAUAUUUGUAUAUAUAUAGCUUUUAUGUCAUGUCACACUGGCUCCUCUUAUUAUAGGUAGUAUGUUACAUCUUUAUUUGCUACAGUAAAAUUGAUUGCAAUUUAGCAUCUUUACGCAUUGCAAGAGGUACAUGUAAUAUAUAGUACUGCACAAUAAGAUAGCACUAUGUAUGACCCCAGAAUCAAAGGUUUCAAACUUUAUGUUAGAUAUACAUAAAAGGGUGUUUUCUUAUAUUUUAGAUUUCAAUUACAUAAAAAAGUUAAAUAGUAUUUUAUAUUUUAUAGAAAAUAUAAUAAACAGAAGAUCUCGUGCUCUGUUAUCACGUGAAAAAAAUUAAUUUUUUCUAAAAAUUUAAACUAUAAGAAAGUACUUUUUUUUGUGAUAUAUUUAUAUUUUCUAGUAAUAUAGUAAGUGUUUACGAGUUCUUUCACAAAUAUAUAUAUAUAUAUAUAUAUAUAUAUAUAUAUAUUUUUUUUUUAGAGAAAUGUAGCAUGCUAUCCUCUUCGUUUAUUUCAUUUAGAAAUAAACUUAGCUAGAAAUGUGAAUCAAUUAGGAUUCGAACUUGGGUCUCGAAUACCAACCACCAAGUCAUUUGCCACUUGCAUUAGGAAGGGUCGGUUCUACUUCUUUCACAGAAAAUUACUGCUACAUACAAAUAUUCUUCACGAAGGAGCUCGUUAAGGUAUCUCUCAUAAUUCUCUAUUCUUAUAUCCUCUAUGUAAAAAAAAAUACUAAGUUGCCAUACUGAUGGUUAGGUUUUCAUUUUACUACCUGGCUUUAUAUAUAGUACUUUUGAAAUAAGCAUAAACUCAAAAAUUUUAACUUUAUCAAGUAAUCUAUAUUUGUAAAUUUUUAUGUAAUAUGUCACUAAGUACAAAAGAUUAUUUUAAUUUGUUAUCAAUGCCUUACUUGUCACCUAGUUGUUUGAGCUCUGAUAGUUUGUUCUGAAUUUGGCUCAGAUGAUGAGCGAAAUAAUAAUUACUUCAUAAAAAUUUAUUUUAAUUGCACAUAGCAUUUAGAAUAAAAAUUUUAGCUAACUGAAAUGUAAUUUUAUUAAGUUAUCACAAAAAUAAUAAUGAAAUAAAAAAUUUGAGAUACAUGGUUAACUAGAAAGGAUCUUUUGUGAAUUAAAUAGCUUAUUUAUUAGUACAUGGACUAUAUGUGUACUUUACGCAAUCUCACUCAACCUUAGUACUAAUAUAUAUAUUUAUAUGAACUAAGUACCUACAUAUUUAUUCUCCCUAUUAAAUGAUUUUUUAUUUUUUGGGUAGAAGUGGAGUUAUCUGUAGGCUAAUUUUUGAAGAUACCCAACCAAAUCUUCAAAAACCUAGCCAACCCUACUAACCAAUCUGCAUAUAUAUAUAUAUAUAUAUAUAUAUACUAUAUAUAAAAGCACGUAUAUUCAAAUUUGGGUCUGUCGACAGACCCAUUUUUCGGCGGGAAAAUUAGCGCCCAUUUUUCUCUUUCCGUACGAAAAAUUUUAAAUAUAAGAAUAAAAAUAGAAAUAAAACAGUACAUAAUACUAAUGUUUCUAAUAACAGAUCAGAGAUGUGAAAAUCCAAAAUAUAAAUUUUUCUAUUUAAUUCAAAAAGUAGUUUUCUAUAACAGAUUACGAGUGUGAAUCCUAUAAAAGAUAUUUUCCUAUUUUAUUUUAAAUAUAUCUUUAUUAGAUAUUAUCUAUUUAAUUUCAAAAUAUAUAUUUUUUUAAGAUAGUUUUUUUUCUAUUUAUAUUUCAAAAAUUUAUUUCCUAACAUAUUUUAUUUUUCUAUUUAAUUUCCAAAGUAAUUUUUGAUUAGAGAUUAUUGUUAAUUAUUUAUCAUUUAAAGCAUAUCUUUCUUAAUAGCGUGAUUAUUUUUUAAAUUUUUUAGAUACAUAUUUGGCAAUCAUAUAAAAUAUGGCUAAAAUAUAAAAAAUAAUUUAAAAAAAUUAUAAUUUUUCUAAUAAUUAUUACGGGUAUUUGCACGUACUUUUACUAGUAUAUAUAUAUAUAUAUAUAUUAUAUAUAUAUUAUAUAUAUAUAUAUAUAUAUCUUUUUUUUUUUUUGAGAUAGGUAGCAUGAUUUAUGCUUACGUUUAUUAUAUUAGUAAAUAACUUAGACUAGAGAAUGUAGAAUCAACUAGGGAUUUCGAAUUGGGGCUCCGAGUGGCAACCACAAGUACUUUGCAUGUUCUAGGGACGUUGGAUAUAAUUAGAGUAGGGCUAGAAUACUUGUAAAAGUAUCAUGGAGGUGAUACUUGUGUGUUUUUAGCCCUUGGAUGGAGAGAUGUGAGGUUGAGAUGAUGGUGGUAGGUGGUGGUAGGUGGAAUAAUGUUUAAUCCAAGGGCUAUUAAUAAUCAAAAAGUAGAUCCAAUGGCUUAAAACCUAAUAGCACCAUGAUGGUGAUACUUGUAAAAGUAUUAUAGCUCAACUCUAUAUAUAUAUAUAUAUAUUGAGAGAUAGGUAGCACGGUAUCCGCUUCGUUUAUUUUAUUUAAAAAUUAACUUAGAUAGAAAUGUAAAUCAACUAGGAUUCGAACUUGGGUCUCGGGUGCCAACCACCAAGUGCUUUGCCACUUGCUCUAAGGACGGUCGGUACCAAUCUGCAUAUUAAUUUUGGUUUCUGUUUAAAUAUUCACACAAGAAAUAACAUCACCGAUCGUACUUAGAAUAAUUGGCUAAGUUACCUAAUCGUUAAUAUUUAAGAUCCUAAUUUUGAAGCCUACAUGGUUUAUAUUUCAAGCUGAAUUCACUUCAUAAGUGGUGUUAGGCAGCUAAUUUUUAAAGACUUGCGCAACCGAGUCUUCAAAAAGCAAGUUAGCCAAUUCUACCGGUUAAUCUGCAGAUUGAUUGCCUUCCGUCUAAACAUUUAUAUAGUAAUAAAAAAUAUUAUUACUGGUCGUAUUUAGUACAGUUGGCUAGUUCUAAGGUCGGAACAUACUUGCUUUUUAUUUUUAAUUGAAUUCAUUUUAUAAUGGAGUUAGAGGCUAAUUUUUAAAGACUUGCCCAACCUAGUCUUCAAAAAGCAAGUUAGCCAACUCUACUAGCCAAUCUUCUGUCUAAAUAUUUACAUGAAAAAUAUCAUCACUAACUAUACCUAAUGCAGUUGGCUAAUGACUUGACCGUUGAUACCCGAGGAUUUAAGUUUGAAGCCUAAUUAUCUUACAUUUUUAGCUGAACUCAUUUCUAGAAAGUGACCAAAACGGAUAGCUUACUUCCUUUCACUCUCACAAAAUAAAAAAAAUCAUCAAAAUAAUACCAUAACCUCUUUACAUCAAUUGCAAUAUUUCUGAUUUACUGACCGUACCUACCACAAUUGGCUUAGGGUUUGAUAAUUGAUGGUUGGCACCCGAGAUCCUGAGUUUCGAAACUAACUGUUUUAUAUCUAACUUGUUGAUAUUUUUCGAUGUUCUAAGUUUAAAGCUUAACUGCUUUAUCUUUCUAACAAAAUUUAUUUCUAAAGAAUAAACGAUACAGAUAUAUUACAUAUUAUGCGGUUAGGAUGAUAGUAGCCUCCUAGGAUUGAGUAGGUGGUUGGUUGAAUAGUAUAAUCUAACGGGUGAAAAUGAUCAAUGAAUAGAUCAAACGGCAGAAAACUCGAUAGUACCAAAAGGUUAAUACUAUCAAUAGUAUAGUAGCCGUACCAUAUAUAUAUAUAUAUAUAUAUAUAUAUAUAGAGAGAGAGAGAGAGAGAGAGAGAGUUGAGCUAGAAUACUCUCGAUAGUAAACGGGGCAUUUUACUAUCGAGUUGUUUUCGAUGAUAGAGCUUCCAAAUUGACGAUCGGUUCCGUUGAACAUGAUCUAUACCACUUAAAGUGUUUAGAAAUCAAAUUUCAAAUCUUUUCAACAUCAUUAAAAUAAUGAUCAAAGGGUUUCAAAAUUUGUAAUUUUAAUGGUGGAUAAGAAACGUUUUCUCGUUUAACGGUGUAAAGAUAUCCAAAUCAAUUGAAUUUUUGUUAGAAAAUCUCGUUUUAAACUAUUUAAUACAAAAUCUAUACUCUUGAUCUUGAUUACAAGACUCCUAUCAUCAUAUUUUUAAAGAAUAUUCAUUUUCAACCAUUCAUUUUCUAUAUCACUAAGAAUAAAAGAACAAUAUCGAAAAUGCGUGAAAUUUGAUUUCUAGGUAGUUUAAAAUGGUUUAGAUCAUAUUUAACGGAGCGAUCGUCAAUUUGGAAGCUCUAUCAUCGAAAACAACUCGAUAGUAAAAUGCCUCCGUUUACUAUCGAGAGUAUUCUAGCUCAACUCUCUCUCUUCUCUCUCUCUCUCUCUCUCUCUCUCUCUCUCUCUCUCUCUCUCUCUCAUCUAUAUAUAAUUAUAUAUAUAUAUAUAUAUAAUUAUAUAUAUAUAUAUAUAUAUAUGGAGUUGAGCUAGAAUACUAUCGAUAGCAAACGGGCUUCGUUGCCACCAUUUGUUUUCGAUGAUGAAGCCUCCAAAUUGACGAUCGCACCGCGUUUGAACUAAUCUAUAACACUUGAAGUGUUUAGAAAUCAAAUUUUAUUUAUUUUCGAUAUUGUUCUCUUAUCAUCGAGUGGACACAAAAAUGAACGGCUGAAAAUGAAUUUUCUUUAAAAAAUGAUGAUAGGAGUCUUGUAAUCAAGAUCAAGAGUAUAGAUCUUGUUUUAAAUAGUUUAAAAAUUUUCUAAUAAAAAUUCAAUUGAUUUGGAUAUCUUUAUACCGUUUAAACGAGAAAACGCCUCAUAUCGACCAUUAAAACUACAAAAUUUGAAACCUUUGAUCAUUAGGCAAAUGAUGUUGAAAAGAUUUAAAAUUUAAUUUCUAAACAUUUCAAAUAUAUAGAUCAUGUUCAACGGUGCCAAUCGUCGAUUUGGAGGCUCUAUCAUUGAAAAUAAAUGGGUGGCAACGGAGCCCGUUUGCUAUCAAUAGUAUUUCUAGCUCAACUAUAUAUAUAUAUAUAUUAUAUAGAAAUAGGCUGGAAUAACUAUCAAUAGCAUCAAACUAUUGAUGAUUUAGAUUUUCGGCCUUGGAUGAAAAAAUGUACGGUAAUGAAGAUUUGGGCCUUCUAGGGUUAAGUAAAUUAUUAGUUGAAUGUAUAAUCUAACGGAUGAAAAUAGUCAAAGGGUUAAAUCUAAAUAACGAAAAACUCGAUAGUACUAAACGCUUGGUACUAUCCAUAAAAUUCCAGCCAGACUAUAUAUAAUAUAUAUAUAUAUAUAUAUAUAUUAUAGAGAGAGAGAGAGAGAGAGAGAGAGAGAGCUUAUGAAGAGAGAGAGAGAGAGAGAGAGACGAGAGAGAGCUAGGCUGGUAUACUAUCGGUAGCAUGGAGGCUUCCGUGCUACCAAGUUGUUUUCAAUGAUGCGGCUUUCAAAUCGACGAUCGGCUCCGUUAGACUUGAUCUACACUAUUAAAAGUAUUUGAAAACUAAAUUUCAUAAUUUGUUGGUAUCAUUUACCUAUCAAACGAGUAGGCUAAAAAUGAAUGGCUGAAAAUAAAAAUCUCAUAAUAAAUGAUGAUAAAACACUUGAAUUUAAGAUUAGAGAUACUGAUCUUACUUUAAAUAGUAAAAAGAAUUUUUUAUAAAAAUUUCAUCAGAUUUGGAUUGUUUUACACCGUUAAAUUCACAAACACAUCACAUCUACCAUUAAAAUUGUCAAUUUUGAGACAUUUUGAUCACUAGCCAAAUGAUGUUGAAAAAUUAUGAAAUUUAGUUUUCAAAUAUUUUUAAUAGUGUAAAUCAAGUCUAACGGAGCCGAUCGUCGAUUUGGAAGCCGCAUCAUUAAAAACAACUUGGUAGCAUGGAGACUUCCGUGCUACCGAUAGUAUAUCAACCUAGCUCUCUCUCUCUCUCUCUCUCUCUCUAUAUAUAUAUAUAUAUAUAUAGUUGAGCUAGAAUACUAUCGAUAACAAACGGGCUUCGUUGCCACCCAUUUGUUUUCGAUAAUAGAGCCUUCAAAUCGACGAUCGGCACCGUUGAACAUAAUCUAUACCACUCGAAGUGUUUAGAAAUCAAAAUUCAAAUCUUUUCAACAUCAUUUGUCUAAUGAUCAAAAGGUUUUAAAAUUUGUAAUUUUAAUGGUCGAUAUGAGGCGUUUUCUCGUUCAACGGCGUAAAGAUAUUCAAAUCAAUUGAAUUUUUAUUAGAAAAUUCUUUAAACUACUUAAAACAAGAUCUAUACUCUUGAUCUUGAUUACAAGACUCCUAUCAUCAUUUUUUAAAGAAUAUUCAUUUUCAGCCGUUCAUUUUUGUGUCCACUCGAUGGAUAAGAGAACAAUAUUAAAAAUGUAUGAAAUUUGAUUUCUAAACACUUUUAGUGGUAUAGAUCAUGUUCAACGGUGCUGAUCGUCGAUUUGGAAGCUCCAUCAUCAAAAACAAAUGAGUGGCUACGAAGCCCGUUUGCUAUCGAUAGUAUUCUAGCUCAACACUAUAUAUAUAUAUAUAUAUAUAUAUAUAUAUAUAGAGAGAGAGAGAGAGAGAGAGAGAGAGAGAGAGAGNAAAUCUGUUAGGAAAUAAAUUUUUGAAAUUAAAUAGAAAAAUAAAAUCCGUUAUCUUAAAAAGAAAAUAUAUUUUGAAAUUAAAUAGAUGAUAAUAUCUAAAAAAAGAUAUUUUAAAAUAAAAUAGAAAAAUAUCUUUUAUAGGAUUUUCACACCUGUAAUCUGUUAUAGAGAACUUACUUUUGAAAUUAAAUAGAAAAAUUUAUAUUUUAGAAUUUUCACAUCAGUAAUUUGUUAUAGAGAACUAACGUAUUCAUUGCUGUUUCUAUUUUUAUUCUUAUAUUUAAAUUUUUUCGUACGGAAAGAUUUUUAUUCUUAUAUUUAAAAUUUUUCGUACGGAAAGAAAAAAAUGGGCACUAAUUUUCCCGCCGAAAAAUGGGUCCGUCAACGGACCCAAAUUUGAAUAUACGUGCUUUUAUAUAUAGUAUAGAUGAUUUUUCGAGAAAGGUCUUUUGUCGAAAGAGACCAAAUAUUGACAGCUAUUGUGUCGUUGUAAAGUUGAGUAGCUGGGAUCAACAUUGCAUAUACAGAGCAGUUGCAUUCAAUCCUCGAUCAUCAAGCUCUAUAUAUAGCCAUGAUAUUGACAUAUCUAUGUAGCAUUAUAUCAAUUUUUUCCCCUUGUUUUAUAUUGGAUUACUUUUUUAUAUAUAUAAUAACAAGAGCAAAUUAGAGCUAAUUAACCCUUUCCUUUCUUUUUUUUUUGUUGCCUUUGUACUCCUUUUUUAUUGUUUUAUUUUCAGGAUUCAAUAUGUCGAAAUUAUCUGUAUUUUUGCCUAUUUGGAGAUGACCAUCAACACGUCUAAAAUUUUUUAUUUAUUGUUUACAUUUUUAAAAUUUUAAUAUGAAUUAUUUAGAUAAAUAAUUUGUAGACUUUAGGCGAUUAAUAUUAGCCAAUUAUUAAGAAACAACAUAAAAUGCAACCAACUUACUCCUGUAUAUUCUAGAUGCAAACAGCUGUUUUUUCGUACAAAAUUGACUAUAAUCAUAUGCCUAAAAUUAAUUUCUACAUUUUUAUAAUAAAUUAGGAAGUCGAAUUUUUUUUUUCUAUAUUACUGGCGUAUAUUAACUAUUAAAAUAUAAAUCUAGAUAAUUAAUUAUAAAAUUUUAAACAUGUACAGAUAAAAUAAAUAUAAAAUUUUAAAAGCUUCAGCGGAGAUUUGCAAACAAGGCUAAUUUUUUUUUUUAUUUUUUAUUUUUUAUGAUUAUGAUGCAUUUAAUUCUUUUUUUUUUAUUUUGAUUUAAUAAUAAAUUCUUUUUGCGUUGGUGGUGCAAACUUUAUCCCCUCCGUACCUAAAGAAAUUUUUUUUUUUUGUACAACACACGUAAGCGUAAGCGUGGGGCCCUCCUUAUUGCGAGGUGCAUGCAAAUCACCAUCAAUUCCGUGCACCCACCCAUUCUCUUUAUUUAAUUUGAGGAAAUUGUUGCCUGCACCUGGUUCAUUGCACCCUGCGCUUUCGUCGCAAAAGGCAAAUUUUCUUACGCCACCAUUAACCCGAGAAAGAGGUAAUCGGAGAUUCAAAUUUUUGUUCAACGUGCCGAAAUUUGAAUCUCCGAUUACCUCUUUCUCGGGUUAAUGGUGACGAAUCUUUGAGAUCAAUUUCUACUAGAUAAUCGACGACACCGCUUGUAGUCGAUAGUUUUUUUUUUUUUAUUAACCCUUUUCACAUUUUGGAUUUUUUUUUUUUUUUUUUUUUUUUUUUUUUUUUUUUUUUUUUACCCCCUCCGAGGUCUAUGUUGUCUCACUGCUGUAGUUUAGUUCAUCUUUUCAAUGAAUGAAGCAGAUAACGUGCUAUCUAUUUUUCAAAAAAAAAAAAAUUCUGUUCAACAAUAAUAGACCAAAAGGACUAAUAAGUUGAAUAGGACUACACUCCAUAAUAGAUCUAAUGGUAGAUAAGAGAUUCAAAAAUAGACCUAACGUUCAGAUAAAUUGAACCAGGUCGAAAUUCGUAAGCACUGUGACUACGAUUGGUACGUCUUUUCUAUCAGCAUGUGUGUUUGAAUUAGUUGGUUAGUAGCGCCUACGAUCCAAAGAAUAAUGGUCAACUGAUCUUGCGCCGUUCAUCGGAGAUUGGAGUAACUGUUGGAGCUGUUGGAUGAUUGGCCUGAUCAAAUGACGAGCUCGAUUGAUCUUGUUCUUCAAUGGACCAUCUAAUAAAUUUUCAAUUUAAAGAUUCAAAAUAAGAUCAUCUACCUUAGACGGUUGUAGACUACAAAGUCUCUGUUUUAAGAGAUAUAAAAAUAAUAGUGAGACCAUAUAGAAUCUAAAAAAUUUUAUUUUUGAGCAAUGCUGAAAUAAAACUUCAUCAAACAAUACUGCGCUCAUUAAAGGGCAAAAAAAAAAAAAAAGGCUAACAAAGAAAAAUAUAUAGAAUUGGAUGAGUUGUGGGUACAAUAACAGUACACAAGUUGUACAAAUGCAUUAGGUGCAGGUGUUUAAUUAACUUUCCAUCAUCCCAUGAUUACUUCCAAUUAAAGCAAUAAAAAAACAAACACAAAGUUUAGAAUCUCAAAGAUAAAGUAAAGAUAAAGUUUAAAAAAGAAAAGAAUUUUUUUAAAAUAAAAAAAUAAAAAAAUCAUGAGCAUCAACCCACUCCACUUAACCAUGCAAAUGCAUCAUCACCACCCCACUACUCAAAUACUCAUUCCCUGCAUUUGAGGCCCCCCUCAACCCCCUCCCCUUAAUUUCCUCUUCCUUAGAUUGUGUUAAUUGCAGCAUUGCACCACCCCAGUCCCCUAAGUUUGAGCCAAAGUUUCAUUUUUUAUUUUCAAACUUUUGAUUUUGAUAAUCGAAAUUUUAAACGUUUAAUUCUGUUUCCAUUUGGUCUCUGAACUUUUAAAAAAUAUUAUAUUUUAGUACUUAUCUUAUAUUAUAGUUCAUCUGCUUGCUUGUUCGCAUACUCUAGUUAAAAUCAGAGAUCUAUUUUUUAUAUUAAGAAAACUGUAACUGAAUCCAUAGUAGAGUUGAAAUAUGAUGAUAAAUAUAUACAUACAUGGACAAAAAUAAUUCUUUUAAUUAGUUUAUGGUCCAUUAAGUACCAAAAUUGAAACUUUGAGGAUCACAAUAAAAAUUUCUUAAACGUUCAGGGACUAUUGUUGCAUUUUACCCUCCUUACAUAUAUAUGCCGUACAAAAACAAGCUACGGAAACACGCGUCAUCACUUUAUACCGAGGGUGCACUCAUUCUCCCUUAAAAAAAAAAAAAAAACAAUAUAUAGCACCAGCACUACACUACCAAUAUCUGAGUACAGAGCCCAAAAAAAAAAAAAAAAAAACAGAGAGAGAGAGAGAGAGAGAGAGAGAGAGAGGGGGUGUGGUGUGUUUUGCAUGAUAUACAUAUAUAUUAUAUUAUAAGUUUUUAGAGAAAAGCGGUUGUUCUGAAGUAGUGAUCAUGGACGCUGCGGAUACUCUGAUGCCGCCGACUGCGCCGAUGGCCGUGGCGCAGCAUGCGGCGGUGACGCCGCGGCCGACAAUAGGGUUUCCGCUCGGGACGGCCCUGCUGCUCAUCGUCAUCUUCUGCCUCAGCGGCAUCUUCUCGUGCUGCUACCACUGGGACAAACUCCGAUGCCUUCAUCGCGCCGCUGCUGCCGCCGGCGGCGGCGGCGGCGAUCCCGAUGACCAGCAGCAGCAGGCUUCUAUUGCAGUGCUUCCAAUGCAUGGCCUGCAUCCAUCCUUCUCUUUUAUAACCACAACCACCACCUCUCCCUCCAAGAUUCCCUCCAAAAAACAGGUACUUAAUUACUUACUUACUUACUUAAUUAAUUAAUUAAUUAAUCACUUUUAUUUUUUAUUACAUGUUGAUUUUCAAGCUUGUUGAUUUUGAGGCUAGCUAUACAGUAAAUUUCUUUUUUUUCUUUUUUUCUUUUUUGGCUAAAAAUGUAUGGAUAUAUAUAAGUCUCUAUCUAGCUAUUUUGAUGUCGCGAUUUGACCUUUAUGAAUAUAUAUUUUAAUUCCUGAACAAUUACAAAAAAAUCAGUUUAUAUUGUAAAAUGAUCAUUUAAUCUCAGUUAAAGUUCAUGAAGUGAAAUUAAGUCACUCUGGCUGAUUCCUUUUUCUUUUUUCUUUUUUAAUGUUUGGUUAAAAAAUCAUUAAAAACAAAUACAUCACACAUAAAUAGCUUUUUCUUACUUUAUUUUUAAGAGGUUCGGUUGGAAAAAAUUGAAUUUUAGAGACCUAUUUCUAAAUGAUUACAUAUAUAGUUUGAGUAUCCUUAAUUUUUUAGAUUAAUAAAUCAGUAAGCCAAAUUUAUUUGAUAGAAGGCUCAAAAAAGAAUAAUGAAAGGAAAUAUAGUUCUCUUUCUUUCUUUUCUCACACUAGCAAAAUCAUAAUUUAUGAGAUUAUCUCUCUUUUUUUUUUUAAAAAAAAAGAAAGAAACACUGUGUUUCCUGUUUCCUAUGACAUAAUUAAUAUGGGUAAUUUAUCAGGAAUCGAAUUGAAUAAACAGGAUUACCACCAUAGAUUUUUUCUAUUUUAGUCUCAUAACCUGCAUAAAUGAUUAAUCUCUCUCUCACACACACACACACAUAUUAUAUGUGCUUAUAAUUUUUUAACCGUCAAAUCGUUUCAAAAUUCGUACAGCAUUGAUAAAGUAGACUUAAUGGAACACAUUAUUAGUAAUGCUGUACGAAUUUUGAGGCACUAAAAAUUUUCAAUAAUAAUUUUCAGUAGUAAUUUUUUUUUUUUUGAAUCUUUUUUCAUGUAGAAUCACAAGCAGGAAAGGGACCAAAGCUUACCUGUUAUAAUGCCAGGGGAUCAGAUUCCAAAGUACAUGGCAUGGCCAUGCCCUUGCCAACCUACUUACAAUUUGCCCACAACAGAGAAGGUCCUCAAAGAGGUGGUAAUCCACUCCUCAAUUUCACCAAAUUGACACUUCAUGCAAAACUAUUUAGAGUAGGGAUUCAUUGACACAAGGGUAAAAUUGCACACUUUUUACACCUGCUACAGAACUUUAAUAAUAGAGAGGCUUCAGAAUCAAAAUCUAUGCCAUUGAAUGUGAUCUACAACAUCUGAAAGGCUCAUAUGUAAAAUAUAUUAUAUAUAAUUUUUCAAAACCGAUUUGCUAAGCAUCAAGCAGUGCCGAAAUCGAUGUCCGUAAAUUUCGAUGAAGACUAUUGUUUAAUGUAAAAAUUUGUAAUAUUUUUGCGUGUAGGUCUUUUAAAUGUUGUAAAUAACAUUAGAUAGUUUCGAUUUUGUUUUUUUUUAAGUCCUUUAUUGUUGAUUUUCACAAAAUUUAAAAAGUGUGUAACUAAAAACUGUGUAAAUUGAUCCUGAUUUUUUUUUUUUUCCUAUUAUUCAUGGAUGAAUGUAAAUUCUUGAGUUUGUUCCCACUUGCAUAAAACAGAGAACAGUGCUGUUCUUUUGGCUUUAUCUAAGAGUGUUUGAGUUUAAUUUUAUUAAUUAUUUGGUCCAUUUUAAUUGCAUACAUUUUCAUUCUACUUCAAUAGAAAUUUGUUUUUCAAUGUUUUGAGAGAAGUUCCUCAUGUAUGCAUGUUUAGUACUUUGUAUAGAAGCAUUUUAGAUUUAGCAGUGUGAUAAUUCAGAGAGAGAUGCCUUCAAAGUUGUUCCAUUUAUGCUUUUCAACAAUAGCAUACAUUGACCGACCGUCGCUAGAGCAAGUAGCAAAGAACUUGGUGGUUGGUACCCGAGGUCCCAAGUUCGAAUCCUAAUUGAUUCACAUUUCCAGCUAAGUUUAUUUUUAAAUAAAAUAAACUUAGCAGGUAGCAUGCUACCUAUCUCUCUCAAAAAAAAAAAAAAAAAAACCAAUAGCAUACAUUGAAGUUAAUGGGUGUAUUUGUUAGUCAUGAUUUUAUAUUUGUUGUGUGAAAUUAGAAGAUCCAAAUUGGAAAGUUACAAGAGGAAUUCAAGUAAAUGCUUUUCUCAUUGCUCAAAGAAUAACAAGAAUGUUUGAUACAUUUCCUACUGCAGUCACAAUUAAAGCUAUUCUAUGAGAUUAUGAAAAUGUUAACAUGAAAUUAUGGAACCACAAUGAAAUGAACUUCGCAGGGAAGCUCUUUAAAGUUUCGGAUAAUACAAUCAAUUCCAAGUCCAGAAACAGAUUAAAUAAUAGUAUACAACAAGGCAUUGUUUGCAUCUGUUUUUGAGUUCUAUGGUUAAAUGAGCAAAUUUUUCGCUAAUAAUGAGAUAUAGAUGUGACUCAACUUGCUAUAUCUUUCGUACUUUGUUGCGUCGUUCUUGUAAAGUUAUCCUAACAAUGGACAAUCUACAACAUCUGCGAAAUUAUGGAACUAUUUAUAACUAUUUGUACAAAAGGUUAUAAGCUGGCAAAUCCUGAAUUCUAUGGAGGUCCUCCAAAGACAACUCCCUCUCCAGUUGGAUUCUCGUCGCUUCUAAAACCUCCUGGAGAAAAAAAAGGGAGCAAAGCAAAAAACAUCGACAAAUAGACAAUUUCAAACGGGAUUACGAUAUGAACACAUGAAACCGAGACGUAAUGAUGAGAAGCCAAAAGAAGAGAACCUUGAACUGCAUGUAUGAAGCACGCAUAGCCAGCCACUGAGCAUCCAUCAUCUCAAAUGCUAUACAGUAUAAAACAUCGAAUGCUUCUUCAUCUUCUAAAAUGACAACAACUUAGAGCACAUUAGGGUAUUAGAGCACUAGGAUGGGAUGUAUCUUCACUAAUUUAUACAGGAAAUCGCGAUUCACCUGUUAAUACUUUUACAAAGUUGAUUGCAGGCAGAGACUUUGGCUUUGCUGCUGAAAAUUGAAAACGUACAACCGUAAGUUCGAUACUAAUAUAACCUUAAAAGAUGACUAUGAUAACUGUAUUCAUAGAUUGCAGUAUGGGGGGCUUUUUUUUUUAUUUUUUUGGGCAAGAAAUCCAAGUUCAAGCUCAUCGGCACUUGUGCGUCAUAAGGUGGCAUUGCAUUCACAACCAGAAAAACAAGCUAUGAAUAAAUUAUACAGCUCUAUGUGUCGGCAUAAAACUCGAAAGGAUACCUUAUUUUGAACUUUUCAAAAAGCAUGCUUACUUUCUUUUUGACCUGAAUUCAGUUCCAACAUCUGAAUCAGCAUGAAUGAAACAUUGACGCCCGCGACAGCAAAUGGGUAUUCCCAUGUUGCUCUUACGCCCUCUUGUUUAAAUAACAACCUUUGGAAAGAAGCCUUCAUGAUGAACCAGAUGGAUACGAUUAAUAUUUUUGUAUCAUAAGUAAUAUCACAAAUUUUUUUUUUCCAAGUAGAAAAAAAAAAUUGAUAGAGGUUUGUUUUGAUUUAGAAUAUAAGUUUAGCAUGGUUCCAAAAACCAAAAUCCACCUUAUUGGAAUUAGUCAAAAAUGAGAUGCAUUUAUCAUAUUUUGUAACUUAGAACCGUUUUCAAUUUCAGGGCAGUGUAAUCCUAGAUGUCGAAAAGUGGUCUACAGUAACAAAAACAAACAAAGGUCAAAGUUCUGCAAGCAGGAAAGUAGAUGAUGAAAACUAUUGGAUUGUGGUAAGAAGCCCAGAAAAAGCAGUACCGGAUAAGUCCUUGCAAGAAAUAAUAGAUUCUCAAGUGAAACAAAUCCACAGCCCCUGAAAAGAAAAGAAACAAAUGGCUUCACAAAGUAAUAGUGAAGAAUGUGAUUAUCUAGUUCUGGUAGCAAAAGCAAAAAAAAUUACGUAAAGGAGUGAAAGGCACGAGAGAAGACCACCAAUAAAUUCAUUGUAAUGCAUAAAAAAUACAUUCCAACUGUCUAUCGCUGCGAAAGAUAUUAAGUUUUGGUGAUGAAUUUUUUUAGAUGUGGAAUAUAUCUCUGAAGAAAUGUUAAUAAUGGUACUCCAUAUUUGUAUGUAAGAAUGAAGAAAAAUAUGCAAACCAGAUUUACCUGAAGUCCGUUGAUGGAUUCGGGCCUUGCCACCCAAUAUCUUUCCAUUGCUCCGAGACUAGGCCUGUAAGUUCUGUUUCUGGAAAGGAAGCAUGCCAAAGUGCUUUGAGAGCUUCCUGCCAAUUAUAGUGCGAAAGGGGCACAAUAAUGUCAAUGCAAUGGUUACAAACAUAUUGUGUCUUUGGAUUCUGGAACAAGUUAUAUGGUGAUACCUUGUGUUCGAUGGGGUUUUGUUCAGUAAUUAUAAUAACAUAAUAGUUCAACAUUUUUUUUUUCCAUUGUAUGAAAAGUCAUGAUUGUUUUUAUAUAUUUUCUUGCAACCAAAUUACACUUUGAAGAAGCAGAAAUGUUGGUUUUAGUUGAUGUUGAGCAACUCCAUACUAACAUCCUACAUUCAAAGGUUAUUCCAUUUGCUAGUCAAGUUGUUCAUGGGGUCAUAUCUGUUUUCGCAUGAUACCUCCGUAUUCACAUAUAACUCAAGUAUGGGCAAAUGUAAUUACAUUAAUUGAUACUUACUUGAUGAUCUGGCCGAGUCUCGUCAAAUGGCACACUUAGUCGAUCCUUAAGCUUUUGCAACCGUUGUUCCUAUAAAAAGUCUAAAUUAUGACUAAUAUUGACAAAAAAAAGUUCAAAACAAUAAAAUUUCAUCCAUUUUACAGAUGAACUUUUCAAACAAAUGCAGGGAAUAGAACUGAUAUCUCCAACUAAAAAUCAAGAGUCAAGGAGCAAGGAGUGAACACCCAAUUCAAUAAGUGGAGAACUUGCCUCAAAACACAAAUACCCUGUUAUCAUGUUAGAUCACCGAUAUCUCCAUUCAAAAAGUUAAGCGGAUAUAGAGAAUGGUCGAAUAUAGCAAGAAAGAUCAUGAUUCAUGGAUCUAACUCAUUGAACUCAAAACAAAUAGUUGGCGAAUCAAAUCAUAAAGUCGCGGAAUACUUAAGCUUAACAUAACAGAUAUAAUCAAAUGUAAAUGCGACUUUACCUGAAGAGGAGUCAAAUCAAGAGUCCUUUCACCACUACCUUGACGUUUGUUUCCCGUGCGGUUGAAGAGUCCUCCAAACCACGAUCGAUUUCCAACCAUAGCAUCAACUGCAAGAAUCACAAACCAUACAUGCCUUUUAGGACUUCAUUUUGGUUUGAAUUGGUCUCGGCUCAGUUUCUUCGAACUAAGUAAAUUAUAUAUAUAUAUAUAUAUCUAUAACAAUUAAUCCGUUUCGGUUCGAUUCUUGAAAACUACGAACGUGUUCGAGCUGAAGACGGAUGCAUUUCCCAGAAAACAAGCACUGCAGCUUAAUAGAUUCCAAACAAUCCAUCAUUUGUUGUGCGAAAAUGCAAGUUUUGCGAGAAAGAACACAUAUGAAAUGAAUUGCAUUUGUGGCAAAUAACAAGAAAGUUUCAACACAAUCAGAUGCCAAAUUCAACAUUCAUGUCGCAACGUACCAAAAUAUGAAAAAAAAGAUGGCACAACACAACAUUAUCCCGACACAACACAAAUCCAAGAACGUGUUCAUUCUUCGAUCAUUUAAGAUCUUUUAACAUAAAUUUUUCGACAUUUUUUUUGAAUCGACACGAGUAACACGAUCAUCGCAAACAUCAUAAAUUAGAAACUUGUUUUGUUGCUCACCUUCGACCGAGAUUGCCUCAUCAGCUACAAUAGGGGGAUUGGAGAAGCCCAAAAAGAGAGAGAGAAAGGGAGAGGAAGAGAAAACCCUAAUAUUUUUUAUCGUCGUUCUCACAUUAUGGACGCGGAUCGAAUUAAUUGAUCCAAAAAUUAAAAAAAUCUCUCUCUCUCUCUCUCUCUCUCUCUCUCUCUUGAUAAUAAACGGAUUUUAGAAAAAUCGCUCUGUAAAACAGCUGCUUAGGGUUUUCCUUUUUUUAAAAAAAUAAUAAAAUAAUAAUAAUAAUAAUUAUUAUUAAUAAUAACAGAAAAGGAAAAGAGGAAGAGGCGAAGACACCCCGCCCUUUUCUCUCUCAAAACCGCUCGUCCCGCCUAAAUGUUCGCUCCGGGAAAAUUGUUGGGUGGACUCGGUACACCACAUCAUCUGUGGACCGCUUCUCUAUUUUUCAUAGGCUAAUUACCCUUGGCUCAUCAGAUUUUGAACUGAUUUUAUCAUUAAUUUAAAAAAUUAAAUAUUAAUGUGUUGCUAAAGUAAAAUUAAUAUAAUAAUAUUACCAGUGAUAACACAAUAAUAAUAAAAAUAUUAUGUCCCCUCCAAGUUGGAACAGCAAAAAAUUCCACACUUUGUUAGAAGUAUAAAUUAUUUUAAUUUAGCAUUUUAAUCUUUCAAAAUUUUAAUUUUGCUAGUGUAUCUUUUAAUUUGUUUGAUUUGAGUCAGUCAAUAUAUAGCACUUUAAUUUCAAAAUUUGUUUGCGUCGUUUAUUUUUAUAAGUUAGUUAAUAAACUUUAUGCAAUUCUCACAAUUAUACAUGCAAUAAGUAAGCAAUUAAUUUAAAGUUUAGAAUAAAAAAGAUUAGAUAGUUAAUUCAAAAUGAUCUAUAGUCCAGGCAAGGUCUAUUGGUCUGGCCAUUUCCAAUUGCAUGGAAAUACAAAUUCAGUGUUUGGUUUAAUGUCUUUAACUUUAGCUACUGCAUUAGGAACUAUAAGGGGCCGUUUGGUUGGAUGUAGUUGCAGAAACAGUGUAGUUGAAAAUACAUGCAGUUGCAAAUGCUGCAGUUAUAACUACACCUAAUCUGUUUGGUUUUACGCAGUUGCAACUGCUGCAGUUACAUUUCUUCUGUUUGGUAAUAUGAAGCUGAUAGUUGUAUUUAUGAAUUUUGUCACCUCUUCAGAUAGAGUGGUGAGGUUACCUUCACUAAACAUAAAAUAAUUGUAUAAAUUUAUUAAUUAUUUAAAUUUACUAUUUAUAAAUAAAUAAGUAGAUAUAUAUAAUAUUUUUAUAUUUUUCAAUAAUUCUUCAACUUAUUAAUCGACACAUUUAAAAUUUUUAAUUUAUUUAAUUUUAAUAUGUAAAUCAAACUUUAAAAAUUUAAACGAUUCUCUCAUUUUUUUUUAUCAAAUUUAAUAUUAUAAUUAAUUAAAACUUAUUAAAUUAACAUACACGAUCACAUUCUAUAAAAAUUUAGAAAAAAAACUAUAUUUAUAUUUUAAAUAAAAUAAAUUAAAAAAUAUUUUUUUGCACAAAGCUUGUAUUGUCUAAAAAAUUUAUUAGUAUGAUUUAUUUAUAAGUAUUUUUAUUUACCUAUAUACAUAUAUUAUUUAUUUAUUUAGCUAUUUAUUAUAUUUAUUUAUUAUUAAUAUUGUGGUGAUCCUAUCCCUCACAACUGCUGCAGUUGGAACUACGACCAAUUUGGAUGUAGUUCUAACUGCAGUAUUUGGGCCUUCUUGUGCAGUUGGACUGCAGCAGUUGAACUCAAUACACUAAACCAAACAAAGGAAUUGUGGCUGCACGCAUUUGAACUGCACUGCAGUUGCAAAUGCAUACAACCAAACAGCCCCUAAGAAGAUCCAAUUGCAGUAGUUGGAACUACGUCGAAUUAGCGCAGUUACCACUGUAGCAGUUGGAGAGAGUAAUUUUAAACAAAGUAUACUUAUCUCCUUAAUUAUUUUUUAAAUAAUUUAUUUUUUUACAUUGGAGGAAUCUACCAUCAUAUCAUAUAUAUAUAUAUAUAUAUAUAUAUAUAUAUAUAUAUAUAUAUAUAGAGAGAGAGAGAGAGAGAGAGAGAGUCCGGCUCGGAUACUAUCAAUAGCACCAAUUGUUGGUGCAUGCUAUCAAGUUUUCAUCAUUAGAUUUAAUCUUUAACUAUUUUUAUCCGUUAGAUUAUACAUAUUAAACCAAUAACUCACUCAAUAUAAGAGGCCACAUCAUCCUAAUCAUACACUUUUCAUCCAACGGCCGAAACCUAAUAGCACAAAUAGUUUGGUGUUUUAAUACAUUCUAGCCAAGUUAUAUAUAUAUAUAUAUAUAUAUAUAUAAUAUAUAUAUAUAUAUAUAUAAUAUAUAUAUAAAAUAAAUUUUUAAAAAUUAUUUCUCAACUGUAUGCAACUAAGCAAAUUAAUUAUUUAUAGUUUAAGUAUUUUCUACUACAUCCAAACAAAUAAGAUAUAUAUAGUUACAAUUGUUAUAUUUCUAACUGCAUAUAUGUUGCAGGCUAAAAAUAUACUCUUAUGAGUAUAAACUCUUUUAUACUUAUAAAUUUUGGUCAUUUGGUGGGGAUAUGUGCAGUUAAAAUGAUAGUGAUCCUAUAGUGUUGAGUAGAUAGUUAGUUGAAUAAUAUGACCUAAUACGUAAAAGUAAUUAAAGGAAUAGCUAGAGUUAACGACCAAACACUUAUGAGUAUAAAAAAAACUUAUAAUAAUACGCAUAAAAGUAUAAUAGCCUAACUCUAGAUUUGUAAUUACAUCUAAUGAACCGUUGUAAAUAGAAAAUUCGUGGUUUCGCCCUAAUCCCGAUGAUGUGAUGUCUCGUACACUACUCCAAGUCAACGGGAGUGGUGUGCUCCAUCCCAAUUCCCACAUGUACACUACUCACUCUUGUAGUAGAAUCGAAUAACACAAACAGAUAAACAAACACAAUGGCUCCUCCUCGUCCUCCCUCUCCCCUCUCCCCCCCUCAAUUUAUCAUCGUCGUUGUCGUCGUUGCUAUCGUUCUCCCGACGAUCUCCGGCCGUGGAUUCGAGAUCGAGGAGGCGACGAUCGACGGCAUCCACCGCGCCUUCGAGAGCGGCGAGCUCACCGCGGCCCAGCUCGUCGGCUACUACCUGGACCGGAUCCGGGCGCUGAACCCGGCGGUCCGGGCGGUGGUCGAGGCGGACCGGGCCGGGGCGCUGGACCGGGCGGCGCGGUUGGACCGGGCCGGGUGGGCGGGGCCGGUUCGGGGGCUCCGCGGGAUCCCGGUUCUGUUGAAGGAUAACAUCGGGACGGGGACGGGGACGGGGGCGCGGUUGAACACGACGGCGGGGUCGCUGGCGCUGCUCGGCGCGGCGCCGCGCGGGUCGGGCGCGGCCCGGCGGCUGCGGCGCGCGGGAGCGGUGGUCGUGGGGAAGGCGAGCCUCAGCGAGUGGGCCCACUUCCGCUCCUUCACCGCGCCCAACGGGUGGAGCGCGCGAGGGGGCCAGGGUCGGGUGCGUUUUAUUUUCAGUUUUUAGUUUGUUUCAUUUUUUUUUUUUCUUAUUUUUUUUUUUAAUCUUUGAUUAACUUGCAUACAGCUAGGAGGAAAUAUAGUAAAUUGUAAAAAUAUUUCUAUAAAAUUUAAUUUUUAUAUAUUAUUUUUGUGAAAAUUCUGAUGUACGUUUUCAAAUAUAUUCUUAUUGUUAAAAUCGGUUAGAAAAAUUUAGUUAAUCAUCGGUUAAAUUAGUUAAUAAGGUGAAUUGAUCUUUUUAUUCUUCUUUAAUUAAAAGCUUUAAUUAAUAGUUGGAAUUUUUAGAAGGACAUGUUUAUGAUGAUAAAAAAAUUAUUUAUCUUAUAAAAUUGACAGUAUUUUAACGGAAGCAAACCAGAGAUUUUUAUCUAAAAAUAUUAGAGUUUUUGUAUCAACAAUAUGUAAAAAUUAAACUUUAUAAAAAUAUAUUUACAAUUUACUAUAUUUUCAGAGAGAAAUUAAUUAUUUUUUAAAAUAAAAAUAGUAACAUUUUAUAAAGUUUGGAGAGCAGCUUUUCAAAAGUACUAAUUUUUCCUCAAAACGAAAGAGGUCAGAAAAUUGGAAAAAAAAAAAAAAUCAUAACUCUUUUUUUUGUUGAAAAUUUUUUUCCACACUUUUUCAGGGAAUCAAACAGUUACUAACAAAAAAAAUUUUGUGACAUUUUAGGUGCUUAGUGUUAUCGGUGGUAUUAUAGCCGAACUCGUAUAAUGUCUGUCUAUAUACAAUUUGAUAAAUGAUUUACUAAAGACCCAGAACUCGUAUAAUGUUUAUAUAUAUAUACACAAUUUGAUAAAUGAUUUACUGAAGACCCACCGUCGACAUAACAGGUAGUAGAAUAUUUCGAUCUAGAGAGUAGUUAAGUUCCUGAACCCAUCAAUUGGUAUUGUAACGGAUACUAAAUUUCUAACAGAAUCCAUACGUGCUCUCGGCGGACCCAUGCGGGUCAAGCAGCGGGUCGGCGAUAGCGGUGGCGGCGAACAUGGUUGCGGUGGCGCUGGGGACGGAGACCGACGGGUCGAUCAUCUGCCCGGCCGCCGCAAACUCCGUGGUGGGGAUCAAACCCACUGUAGGACUCACCAGCCGGGCCGGAGUCAUUCCUAUCUCCCCUAGGCAAGACACCGUCGGGUAAGCAAUUUAAGGUCCUGUUUGGUACGAAGGAUCAUCUAAAAUUAUUAGACAAAAUAAAGUUGGGAUAAAAACACAUAUGAAAUUGUGUUUAAAAGAGUGAUGCAAAUAAGUUUGAAGUUGUUGCUACCCCUACGUGCCUGGGUAGGUAAUUUUUUUGGUUUUGCUAUUUAUAUAGUACUAGUUUUGUCAAUUUAUCUGCUCAUAUACAUAGUUUUUUUUUUUUUUUGAAUGAUAAAAUAUUCGAUUAAGCGACUGUUCCAUUGUUCUGCGGUGUCUUCUGUAUUGAAACGCUGCAUGCUGAAUCGCAGUUUAAAAGCCGUAACUUGUAACUUAUUACAACAGUAGAAAAAUAAUAAGAAUGCUUUGACAUGUGAAAAGAAUCACUGCUUUUGUUUUAAGUUGCAUUUGGGAGUUGUAAAUGAAAUUAGUGUUGCUGUUUUUGUAUCCAGCCCUAUUUGUAGAACAGUGUCAGAUGCUGUCCAUGUGUUGGAUGCAAUUGUUGGCUACGACCCAGAUGAUGCAGAAGCAACUAAACUGGCUUCAAAAUAUAUACCUCAAGGGGGCUACAAGCAAUUUUUGAAUUUAGAGGGACUAAAGGGAAAGAGACUUGGGAUCUUGAGGAAGGGCUUUUUUGAGUUCCCCCCAAAUUCAGUGCAAAAAAAGGUUUUUGAGGAGCAUUUCAACACAAUGAGGUAUCUCUCCCUCUUCCUCUCCAAACUUUAUCUACUAGUAAAAAUUUAAGUAUCGUGAGACGGGAUUGUGCCGAAAACUUGUCGGCACAGUGCGUGACAGGCAGCGACGAUGCUUGUUAGUUACAAAAAAGUAUAUGUAUACCGAUACAUAAUAGCAUGAAAUAUUUAUUUUCUUUACCAACAAAAUAUUCUUACUUAUUUAUUAUGUAUCUUUAUCAAAAUUUUUAAACUUUAUUGAAAAAAUUACUUACUGAUUUAAAGAAUAGACGAUUUUGAGCUGUGCCAUCAGCACGAAGACUAGAUCGUACCGAUAUUUUAUUAAUACAAUAUGGCACGAUAGAUAUGAUCCGUGCCGAUGGGCACUUAAAUUCUUGCUCCAGUACCUAACUUAAAAGUUCUAGUAUAAUUUGUUUUAAAAUAAAAAAUAUUCAGUCAAAUACUGCAAUAUUCUGAUACAUCAUUAAAAUGAUAGAAAUAUUGUUAAGGUUACACAGUAAAACUAAAAAGUUUCAAAGUUCAAGUAUCUGUUCCAGGAAUAUUAUUAUCAUCUGUAACUCAGAUAUUUACUUUAAAAAAAUAUUUUAUAAUUGUAACGCAAACAUCUAUCUAUCAUUUUACUAUUUUGUUACUUGAACUAACAUUGUGAUUUCCUUUUUUUCUUUUUGUUGUUUUUUUGGGUAAAAUAUGUCAAAGGCAAAGAGGAGCCAUCCUAAUUGAUAACCUUGAAAUUGCCAAUGUGAGCAUCAUCCUUGAUUCCGAGCAAAGUGGUGAAUCAAUCGCAAUGUUAGCAGAGUUUAAGCUAUCACUGAACACAUACCUGGCACAAUUAUCCUAUUCUCCUGUUAGAUCUCUUGAAGAUGUAAUCGCUUUCAACAACAAGCACAAAAUCAAGGUAUGCUGUAAACAAAACACAAAAAAGUGUAGAUUAAAAAUUCAGAUGAUAAAUUCAAAGUUGUUAAAGCUCAAUUACCCAUUAUAGUGCAGCAUAAUUCAGGUAAGAUCUACACAUUUUUUAACUCCCUAUCGGUUCUACUCAUAAGAAUUGGAGCUAAGAUUGCAUUUGAAUGCAGGAAAGGAUGAAAGAAUAUGGCCAACCUAUCUUUUUGAGGGCUCAGAAAACUAGUGGAAUAGGCCCCGUCGAGAGAAGCGCGAUUUUGCGAAUGAAUCAACUCUCCAAGGAAGGGAUAGAAAUGUUGAUGAUGAAGAACCAAUUGGAUGCAGUAAUCACACCCGACGCUACUGCGACAAGUAUUCUUGCUAUCGGCGGGUAUCCGGGAAUUAGUGUUCCGGCAGGAUAUGAUAAAGCAGGGGUACCUUUUGGUAUCUGCUUUGGGGGUUUAAAGGGUUCAGAGCCUAAGUUGAUUGAAAUAGCUUAUGCUUUUGAACAAGCCACAGCAGUUAGAAAACCUCCUACAUUCAAGUCAAGUUUAACAGCAAAAUCUAAACUAACCACUGAGUGUUGAGAGCUAAUGAACUGCAAUAUCCAUCUUUACAUUCUAGGCAUGUUUAUGUUGUCUUUGUGUUAAAAUUGUUCAAUAAAUCUCCUUUUGACUUUGAGAGAGUUUAGAGAUUGUUUCAUCUCUCUACUAUACAUGCUUGUGUCAUCAUGUUUAGAACAGUUUGAAAAGCUUCUAAGAAACAGAUGGCUCAACACAUCAUGAACUAAGAAAUUUUUUAUUCUAAUAGAUGCGCAAAUCAUUCGAAAUGACAUCAUCAAAGUUUUAUUUUCAGUUCUGUUUCCUAACCACUUUCGGUAAGACACAGGACAAAUAAACAAUUGGCGGUCACCAUGUCCAGAUGUUAGGCCACUCAUGUCUGAGAUUCUUUUUGUUUUGAAUCCUUAAAGGUACCAAUUAUUAAGAUAGAAAAGAAUAUUACAAUUGCAACUUUGAAAGUCUUAACUACAAAAAAUAAAACAACAAUGAAUAGGAAGUGGAAACAAUGGAGCCUAAAUAGGUGAUAGGAUAAGAUCAAUUAGUUUUGAGAAUGAAGUUGCACAGUAAUCCCUAAACUUCUGCAUGUUUUGCAACUCAGACAUGCUCCUCUAUUGUUCAUUCAAAGAAAAAAAAAAAAUGGCACAGUACUCAGAUCUUAUUCCUGUAUUGGUAAACAUCACUUGACAGUAAAUAAAUUUUCAUCUCAUCAACAAGCACCAAAAUGUCAAGCCCAUCCAAAUACCAUAACAAGCAAGAUACAUUGGCUAAAUAAAGAACACAUUUAAUGCAUUAGUAAGGAGUUUAUAACAAAAUAUCGUAUUUACACAGGAAAGCGGUACGCGCUUUGACGUAUAAAGCACUGCAAGCUAACAGGGGAGUACUAAUGGACACAAUGAUAUGCAUACACAUGAAAAUUGUUCAAUAAUUCUCAACUUUCAGUGGUGCCCAAUCAACAAACUUCAGAUAUUCAUCCAAAGCAUGAGGGGUUAACAAUAAGAUACCUUUACAACAUAAUUAAGCAGUCGGCUAAUUUUGUUCAGCGGCACAUUCUUUGGAGCCAUCCUUGCCACAAACAAACUUCCAAUAAUCAAUUAAUUUAUGGUCCUGAGGAACCACUUCUUCUGGCUUGCCCACACAGAAAAUAGCAUAUGCAUCAGCAGCAUAUCUGAGAGAAAAGUACAAAUCAGAAUAUGGUAACAUAAAUAAGAAAUAAAAGGAAAAGAUUACAAAAUUUGUUUAGGAAGAGGUUUGAUAAGAUCAGAUUCGGUACUCACUUGCCUAUACCAUGGAGUUGAGUGACGUGAGUCCAGUCACUGCUCAAGUACUCCUGAGAGAACUGCUUAAUCAUUCUCGCUCGUUUUCUUUGCAAUCCUAGACUCUGUAUGACCUUCUCUAUCUCCUCCGCAGGGACUUUUGUUGUGGUCUCAGCAUCAGGACAAAGAAGGAAUAAGCCUGGGAGUACUCUCCGGACCUGCAUCGCGUUCAUACGUGAUCAGUGAUCUCCUUUGUUGAUCAAUGUUAUAAAGGAACCUAAGUCGAAUUUUUGAACUUUUGCAUAUGUAAAUAAGAUUAGUAGCUAUCAGCGACAAAGAGAUCAAUGUGGCUAUCAAGUACUUUUAAAAAUGUGACCAAUCAAGUUCUCCUCUGCUCCUUUAUCUCUCGUUCUCACUCCCUCGCGCACUAUUUUAAGGCAAUUACUCCAAAAUUCUUUCUUGUCACCUGCUCCUCUCUUUUAACAUCAGAAUCGCGCCCGAACAAUGAUGAAGAACUUUUAGGCAGUUCAUUAUCUAUUACUUACAUAAUAGACAUAAAACCAAACUAAAAAGAUCCCUUUUUUUACUGCAGCUAUCGAAAUCGGCGGUAAUUGAGACAGAAACUAAAGGUGGGUUCUUUACAACUUAGCUAAAACUAAAAUUUGGUUUUGAUACUACAAUCUCCAAUUUUAAGGAAUUCGAAAUCAAAUUGAGAGUAAAGCAUAAAGAGAGAGAGAGAAAGAGAGAGAUAAACCUGUUCCCCAGUGGUGAUGUUAAGGAGCAUGCAUAUGAUCAAAACCCUCCACGGAUCGAACGAGUGCCUCUCUUGGAGGAGGCUGUGGCACGACGCUGGAGGCUCCCACGCCUCCUCGGCGGCGACUCUCCGAUACGCCUCCGACAUCUUCUCCGCCGCCGAGAGCUGCGAUCGCUGCUUGCUCCUCCUCCGCCGCUUCUUCACAUCGCGAUCAACAUCCUCAUCGUCGUCGCCGUCGUGGUCAUCGUCCACGCCGUCGCGAUCCCCGCUAAGAUUAGGAAUAGGGUGGUUCUUAGGGUUCUUAGGGUUCCGCUUCUGCUUCUUCGUCGUCGUCAUCUUCCUCCGCUUGGUUCCAUGGGAGUGCUCCUUCUUGUAGAGGACGAUCGGGGGGGAGGCGUCGGGGGGGGACGACGGCGGCCGAGGGCGGCGCCGCCGCCUCUUCAUCGGCGGCGGAGGAGCAUCAUCGUCGUCUCCGCCUCCGACGCUCCUCUUCUUCUUCUUCUUCGUCGUCGUCGUCGUCGUCGUCGUCUCCGAGGGUUUGUAGGCGAAGGAGGAGAGGAUUUGGUCGAGCGACGGGGAAUCGCGCGCCAUGGCGGGGGCGUCGCGCGUGCUCGGGAGGGCACGCGGAGCGAAUUUUGGGGUUCGCGGGUGCGGUACGCUCACUGCGUCCCCGGUUGGUCACCGCCAAGAGCGGGGAAAUUUUGUCGCUUGCACCCGGUGUAUGAAUGUCUCUCGUACACCGGUGUUUGCUUGGGUCAAAAUACACGGCCUCCCUCAAAUAUUUGUUUCUGGAUUGAGAUAUCAAAUUUAAUGAUCCGUUUAGUUGUUAAUAAUUAAUUUGAUCAAGUUUUAUCCUCUAAAAAUAUUUUAAUUAUUAAAUUUGAUGGAAUCAUCAAUGAACUUAUAAAUUUAUAAAUAUUUUUUGACUAAUGUCAAUUUAAAAAAUUAGAAAGGUGUUGUUUUUUUUUUUUUUUUUUUUUUUAAGAAACAUAACUAACUUACACCAGCUAAAUUUCAAAAUAAUAGUGAUUAUAGAGCUCAAAUUCUAAGAAAGUAGCCGAUAAACUAGCCUUUAGGGUGAUUUUGAAAUUCGAAAAUUUAAAAAAUUAGCCGUUGAAAACUUAUCAUGCUUCUUAAAUUAUUGAAGGCUGUCUAAAAACUUAUAGUCACAACCAAAACGUAAACUCUACUAACAUUUUCUUAUUAUGCUCAACACUUGCAAUUUCGGUAAUAAAAUGGAUGAUAAUAGUAUUUAAAUAAUAGGAAUAUGAGUUAAAAAAAUUCAUUCAUCUAAUGGUAAAUCGCGAUAACUCAUCGAAACUGAAACUCCACACUUUCAUUCUCACCGGAGCAAAAUGGAUUUAUGAAAUUCUCAAAAGCCAUGAAGAAAAAUGCAAGCCCGCGUCUUCUUUCGGACACCAAAAAUAUUACUUUGGAGGAGUACGUAGUUAUGUUCUUAUUUACAUUAUCUUUUUUCGAGAGUUUUGUUUAUCUCAUUUAAAAAUAAACUUAGCUAGAAAUGUAAAUCAACUAGGAUUCGAAUUUGGGUCUCAAGUAUCAACUAUCAAACCCUUUGCCACUUGCGCUAGGGACAGUCGGUUCUUAUUUACAUUAUCUAAAAAUAGAAAUCCAUAUUUUCGUAGCUUUGUGUAUGUGAUGUCACAUUUCUUUAGUCCAUUUGUUUGGAUCUUGUCACUAAGGCGAAUUAAAUUCUUGCUAAAGCCCAACUAGAUAAGCUCUGUGCAUAUCCAUCCACCAUGCUCUACUUUUUUAUUUUGAAUUAUUAUCUAAAAAUUUUAUGAGCGAUUAGUAUUAAAUAAUUGGAAAAACUUCAAAAAACCCCCCUGUGGUUUCAUGCAUUCUCACUUUACUACCCUGUGGUUUAAAACGUAUCAAUUUGCCCCCCUGUGGUUUCAUUUUUAUCUUUUCGGAAGCUUUUUCGUUAACAUUUCGUUAAAUUAUAUACAAAAAACUUCAGAUAACCAUCUAUAUUUAUCGAAUAUUCACUUUAGUAUCCUUUAAUUUUAACUUUGUCACUGAUUUAAGAAAAAAAUAAUAAUAAAAUUGAUAACAAAAAGAGAAAAACGAAACCACAGAGGGGCAAAUUGAUACGUUUUAAACCACAGGGUACUAAAGUGAGAAAGCACGAAACCACAGGGGGGGUUUUUGAAGUUUUCCCAUAAUUAUUAUUUAUCAAGUGAAGGCUAUAUUAUUCAAAAAUUACAAAAAUAAAGUUGAAGGAAGAAAAUAAACUAAACAAAAAAAAAGAGAAGACUAUAGCGUACGCCGCUGCCAUUGGAUUCCACCAUAUUUUAAUGUUUAAAUUAAUUAUUUUAUUUUAUUUUAUUAAUAGUUCUUUUUUGCUAGUAGUUUGGGAGACCCACCCUAACCAUUCAACAUGAUAUUUUUGGUGGGUUGUGAGGGGAUGUAUGCAUGUAUUAGAAAUGAGCAAUGCUUCAAUACUCCAUUCUAAUCUUAGACGUUUAUUUUUAAUCAAUAAAGAAUUAAGAUUUAUGCAUAAAAAAGAUGACCUGCUAUUGCACAAGUGUACCGGUCACAGGUAUGUGAAUUAGGAGUUUUUUGGAAAAAAAAAACGCUAAUAUUAAAGUUAAAUACUAAUAUUGGAAAGUUUUGCAUACUGCCCUUGAAUCAUGGAGAGAAUAAAUUUUUAAUUAAAUUGUCCAUUUUUAAGGUCGAUUUUAUAUAAUAAUUUAUGAUCGCAUUGAGUAAUAAAUUUAGUAAUUUAUAAUUUAAAUUUGAUUUUCAACAUUGAAACUUUAUGUUUAAAUAGUUAACAAAUUUAUUUUUUAUAUAAUAUAAUUAAAUCCAAAUUUAUAAUUUAAAUUUGAUAAUAUUUUGAAAUUUAAUGAUUUUUUCAAUAUGAAUUAACAAUUUCAAAUGUAGAAAUCUUUUAUUUAAAUAAAUAAAUAAAGUUUAUAAAUACACUAUAACGUUUCUUUUAAAUUACAAUUUUAAAGAUAUUAACAUUUUUGAACUUUCAUGUUAGUUUAAUAUUAAAUUAACAAUUUGAAUUGAAAUGUUUACUCGUUUAAAUAUAAAUUUUUCUUUCUAAAAUUUAAAUUUAAUUUAUACAAUUAUAAAUAUAAAGUUUAAACUCAAGUUAAAUUUUAAAUUCGAAUUUAUAAAGAUUUAUCAUUUAUGAAAUUAGUCAUUGUUUAAUUUGGUAAGUAACAAAAUUAAAUUAGGAAAUGAAGAUUUGUUGGAUAUUAUCAAAUUUGGUAAUUAACUAAUGCAUAUUUUCAAAUGUUAUCUUUAUAAUUGAUUGGUAACUAGUUGAGCAGGUUACCAUUGUGUAAAAGUCAAUCUUAACCUCACAAAUUUGAAUGGUCGGAUUUAAAUUGGCCGGUGUAUAGAAGCAUUUCUCUUAGAAAAUUAGGACAACUCCUUAAAAUAAUAGGUAAUUGUUUAUAUACCUUCAAAAAAAUUUUGACUUUUUCUGAUUUAUUUUUCUUAAAAGACUAAUAUUAAAAAUAUAUUUUUAAUGUUCCAAGUUAUUACAAAUAUAUUCUAAGAGUUAAAUUUUGUUAGUAAACUAUUAGCAAUAACCAUUAUCUCUGUGAAAUUAUUAUUUUGCGCUUUCAAAUAUAUACCUUUAUACUAUCACAAACUUUUCUUAUUUGCCCACAAGUUAGAGACAAAAGAAGUAUUUUGAUAUUUUUAUUUUUUCAAAUAUACCCUUCUACUAUGAAGUGAUGUGCGAUUAGGAUGACAGUGGUUCCAAAUUAGAAUGAUAGUGGUCCCGUAGAAUUGAGUGGAUGGUUGGUUGAACAGUAUAAUCUAACGAGUGGAAAUAUAUAUAUAUAUAUAUAUAUAUAUGUUUUUUAAUUUCUUUGAAAAAUAGUGUUUAUGAGUUUUUUUGAGAAACCAAACACGUCCUAAGGUAGUUACAAGUAGAACUGAAAUCCAGCUCAUUCUUCGCGAGCAGACCUGUGUUCAGCUUAAAAUGAUCUCGAGAUCGACCGCGCGUUUAACAAACUAGCCGAACAUGAGCCAAGGCUCGAAAUUCAACUUGUUGUUCGCGAGUCGACUCAUGUUCGGCUCGAAAUAAGUCGAGAUCGAUCGCUCAUUUAACAAACUAACCGAAAAUGAGUUAGGAUCAGCUUGUUCGUGCGUGUUUGGCUAUUUUAGGCAGAGCGAAAUACAAAGAGACCUCUAUUUGGUGAAUUUCAAUUAUUAAAUUAAAAUUCUAAUUUUUAGCUAGUAGUAAGACUGACAAUCGUGAGUCAGCUCUUGUUUGUCUUAUUAACAAAUAAGUCAAACACGAGCUGGAUGUAUGUUUCACUCGAUAUCUUAAAAAACUAGCUUGUAUUCGGCUCGUUUAUUAAAUGAGUCAAACACGAGCUGGUUCGAGCCCGCAUUGACAGCCUAUUUACAAGUAGGGAACAAAAAUAACAAAGGUGGACCUAAGGCAACAAUAAAGGCCUUAAUUUGCAACAUAAAUGGUGCACAACAUUUGGUCCCCAUAGUAGAGAAAUUUGAAAAGUAGAUGGAGUGAAUAAAUUAUUUAGAUUUUGGUCUGAUCAUUAUAAGCUUCUCUCCUUUUUCUUACUCUUCUUUUGGUCAAGAGGAUGAAUUGAGCCUUAGAAGAAAAAUGGUAAAAAUAUAGGUUAAAUUACACUUUAUAUUUGGUUCUCAAACUAUAAGGCUCCUAAUACUUUAGUUUUGAAAUUUUAAUUCAUAGCAAUUCCUAGUUCAAACUUUCUAAAUUAUUGCAAUUAGAUCUCACAAUCUAAUUUAGUUGGUUAAAUAUUGAUAAAUUAAUGAUAUAGAAAUAUAAAUAUGGAAACACUGUGAUUAUUGAUGCUGUAAUAAUCAAGAUAUUACAUCACUCCUACAUUAAUAAUUUGUCGAUAUUUAACCAAUUAAAUUAAGUUGAAGAAUUUAAGUAAAUAAUUCAGAAAGCUUGAGUAUGAAAUUAUAACAAAUUAAAAUUUGAUGACCAAUGUAUCAGGCGCCUAAUAGUUAAUUUGACGAAAAAAAAAAUAUAAUUUACCCAAAAAUACACACCUCAACUUCAACUCUUCUGUUAAGAUGUCCUUUGCUUUCGAUUUUCUAAAAUAAAGCAACUUUUGUCAAAUUCAUCGAUAAUUUUAACAAGUUAAAUAAAUUUAAUUAUUCUUUAACAAAUUAAAUUAGGGCAAGUAUGCUGAUAGUUAAUAGAAACAUCGAAGUUAACAAUUUCUUUAAUUAAAGUAAUUAGCAUAACUCAACUAAAUUUUUUUUUAAAAAAAAAGUUAAAAGAAUCUAAAUCUAAACAUAGUAAAAAGUAAAAAAAAAAAAAAAGGCCAUUUCCAAAUGGCGCAUUGUUCAGAGGUUCUCCAUACUAUAUUGAAAAAGUACAAAAAACAGUUAUAAGCUGUUAAAGGACAAUGAUCUUAACUAUGCAUUUAACAAAUUAAUGCACAGUGCAAUUCACAGGUCGUGAAAACAUUUAGUGCGUUACAUCUAUGUCGCAUACACUUUAUUAAUCAAACUAAUUAUAAACUGUAUUAGUCAUAACUAAGUUACAAAGUGUGAUUUAAAACACCAAAAAGGUUCAGGGGUUUGUUUUCAGUCUAAAUCAAGCGGAUUUUUAUGUUAAGUCUCAAUCAUCAUGGUUGGAAAUUUUACUAAGUUUCCAAUUAGAUUGCUCCAACUAAUUAAUUCAGCAUUGCAUGUAUCGUGCCAUUUAGAAUUAAUAAUUCAAAUCAUAUGAAUUUUUUUUAAAAUAAUAAUAAUAAAUGCUUGUAAUUUCGGUUGAGGAACUGUAUUAAAGAUGCUUAUCUAAAGUGGCUGUGGUUUGUGCUUUAUUAUUGGAUUUUGAUGUGUAGAGAAAUGAAAUCCAACAAUUCGAUCGGAGUUUAGGUUUAACUUGAUGUGUAACUUCUAACUAAUGGAUCUUUAAUAUGAUGUUUUAAUACUAAUUGUGACUUAAUAUGAUCUUUAAUAUGAUGUUUUAAUACUAAUUUUGACUUGAAAAGGAUUAGCAUUCAAAUUCUCAUUCCCUUGUGUGCUUUGUGAAGGUAUAUACUUAAUCGCCCCAUGAUAGUGAUAUAACUUUUUUGUUUUAUCACAUAAAUGUGAUCUUUAACAUGAGCUACACUUGAAUCUUAAAUGAGAAAAACCACUCCAAAAUCAUGUUUAAAUGGGAAAAAACACUCCGAGAUCACGUCUAAAUGACAAAAAUACUCUGAAAAAUCUCGAAGCUCAAACACUCUACGUCAUGUUUAUUGCGUUGAACAUCGAAUUGGAUGCUCAAUCAAUGAAAAUAACAAUACAGCCCUAUUUGAAUUGUACAAAACAACAAACGAAGUUUUCAAAGUAUGCAAUUAUUCAGAAAAAUUAAUUUGAUUUUUAAAUCAGAAAAGUGCUAAAUGGUUCCAUUGUUAGGAUUAGAACUAAGAAAAGGGAAAAAGGACAUAAUUAAUUAAGGCUCCAAUUAUAUUGUUGUUUAAUUCAUUAGUUAGGGUGUCAUGAUCAAAUUAGAUGGAUACGCAUGUGAUGAAUUAAAUGGAGCAUUCUUGAUUAAGAUGUUUUGUGUCAAACCUGAUGUCCACACACAACCAACCUCAUUUAUGCAUUCACCUGCCAUCUAAUUUUAUUUAUGCACACAAACUACUCACCUCUCAAUCAUAAACUUAUUAGGAAACUAUGUAGUUGUGAAAAAUGUAUAAAGCUUGUGAGCUCAUUAAUGAACAUGUUUCACUUUUGUCUUGGUUAAGGAUUAAGAGAAAAAGAUUAACUGUUGAGGAAAAGUUGAGCUUGAGCGCUUUCCGGAAGCAUUAAGAGAUUAUUGUUAAUGAUUUUACUUAGUUUUCGAUGAUGAGACAUCAAUCUGAAUAGAUAAUUGACAUCGUUUCACAACUAUAAUUUGCAGUUCUAUUUGUAGUAGUUAAGGAGUAAAUUUCGUGAUUUUUCGUUAUUUUUUUACCUUACGACUGAACAAUUUGAAAACGAAUAGCUGAAAACAAAAAUCUUAUUAAAGAGAUGAUGCGAUUCUUAAACUUUAUAUUAGAAACACUAUUCUUGUAAUAAAUUUGUAUUGUUUUCCACAGUUACUAAUUAAACUUAUAACUAGCUCAUAAAUGUCUCAUCAAAAUUGUUGAUUUUAACAUCUUUCAAUCAUUGAACAAGUAAUGUUGAAAAAAAUAUAAAAAUUAGGCUUCUAAAUACUUCAAAUUAUGUAUAUCAUGUCUAAUAAUAUCGAUCAUCAAUUCAGAUAUAUCUUUAUCAAACGCAAAGUAAUAGUAUGAAAAUUCCUGUCCUUUCAGAAACACUGCAACUCAACUCCUACGUGGCGAAGAAGGUAUCACAGUGAAUAGCAUAAUACCACAACAUAAAAACUACUAUAGGACUAUGCCACAUAUAUGCAACAACUAUAUAUAUAUAUGAAAUACAACAAUUAUAUAUAAUCAAUGUAGCCUUAAAUUGCCAACCCUAAAAUUUGUUGGCGUUCACCAUUACUUUGCAGAGCCAUGCACUUCUAUAAAUAGAAAGGAUUCUUCAUGCUUCUAUUUUAAAGCAACCCAAACUAGAGAGUGCAUGCACAACAAAUAAUACAUUUUAUAUAUAGAAGAGAGAAAAUGGGGGAAUGUUGUAAGAGGAUCUUGUUGAGUGCUUCUUUUGGCCAUAGAGAAUACAUUGUGCUAUUUCUAGUGAUGUUUCAGCUUGUUAGGGUUUUAGGAGGGUACACUCCGAAGAAUCAAACGAAGAUUCCCGCUGUGUUCGCGUUUGGCGAUUCGAUUAUCGACCCAGGUAACAACAACCACCUCAAGACCCUGAUCAAGUGCAAUUUCCCGCCCUACGGUAAGGAUUUCAUCGGGCACCAGCCGACUGGGAGGUUCUCGAAUGGAAAGAUCCCAACCGAUUUACUCGGUACGUAUACUUUUGUGAGAAGAACAAAAUUGUGAAACGUAUAUAAUUUGAUGUUAACUUUCGUUGUUUGACUCAGCUAAAGCUUUGAAAGGUGCUAAUAGUCAUUUUCGUAUGAUCUAUAAAGAUGUUUUUAUUGAAUGCUACGUAUAUAAAGUUCACGAUAAUGACUAUUAAUUGUUAGUGCUUACCAAACUAAUUAAGAAUCAAAAGCUCACUUCAACUUCAUUCUUCGGCUAAACGCUCUAAAAUUCUCUCUCUUUUUUUCUCCCCUUUUCUUUUGGCAAAUUUAAUUUCUGACUUCUCCUUCUUGAGCAAACACGUUGCAUGUGCUUAUCUUCUGCGGAGUAUGAUAAUAUGAGUUGAGAAGGAAUAAAGUGUUAAUUACUAAAAGCUAAAAAAUUUUAAAUCAAGCUUAUUACAUACUACGAGAGAUUUUUUUUUUUUGAGAAAAAGGUAGCACGCUAUCCGCUUCAUUCAUUGGAAAAAUGAACUAGGCUAUAAGGGUGGGGCAACCCGGGCUCCUAUACUACGAGAGAUUUAUUAGAGACUUAUUUGGUGACGAAGAGAUAAAACCAAAAGAGUAAGCACUAUCCUCGUAAUGUGAGGAACAAUAACUCACCUCAUCCAUAUGUGCGCGCGCGCGCGUGUGUAUAUAUAUAUAUAUAUAUGUAUGUGACCAUUUCUGUAUAUAAUGUGGGAUAUAUUUAUAGCAACUAUAUCUUAAUGAGAGCCAAACUAUAGAAAAAUAAUAUUAUUGUAGUCAUUGGCCAAAACAAAUGGGACAAUGGCCAAAACAAAUGGGAUUUUUUUAGUGUUACAAGCUGUAAUCUUGUGCUCACUUUGUACAAUAGUUUAGAUGAGCUUUAAGUUCAUAAAAUAAUUACAUCAAAUUUGAACUUAAGGAUUUAAUUACCAUUCGUAACAAAUGAGGAAAUGCUAUAUGCCCACAUCAUUCUACCCAUACGCAUACACGCACACACAUGCUAACAUAGAAUAGUUGAACAUCUUAUUAGGUUAUAUUUCACAUCGAUCAGGAUAUUUUCACUUUGUCAUCCAGUAAUUCCAAAAGUUACAGCUAAUCAUUAAAUAUUUUUAUUUUUAUUUUUAUUUUACUAUAAGGAUCUGUUGUCAUAUAGGAUGACAAAGUUAUAAGUUAUGCAAUUCACAGUUAAUGCAACUUUCGAACUACAGGAACAUGAUAAAGAAAAAAAAAUGCACUAAAUCACAGGGGAGCAAAUUUAAAUGCAUUGUGUACUUAAACUUCGAUUGAUGGAAAGCAACGAUAGCAUAUCUAUAACUUAAUUAGAUUGUGACUCUUGAUCCACAAAUAUUGCGAAUAUGACAACACUUAUUUUGGAAUUAGUUAUAAUAAAAGAUUCUAAAACGUUACUAACCUCUCAAAUUAAGGUGCUAGGUUGUUGAGUGAGAUCUAACCCCUUGCAUUAAAUGUGUUUGUGACUGCUUGUUGAGCUCACACUUGCCAAUUUUAACAACCAGUUACCUAAGGGGAUUUGAAUUUAACUUUUCGGCCAUUUUGUUUUACCGAAAGUGAAGUUCCAAUUGAAAUAGACUUUUCGAUAAAAUAGAGUCGAGGAAAAAAUUAUGCUUCUUCUGCUGUUUGUUUCUGUAGCCAUGGAAUUGAAGUUUUUCUAGCUAUUUUUGCUAUUUGUUUUGCAGAAGAUGAAUUACGUAAAACCUUCCCUAUAAAUAAUAUUUUAUUAUUUUUUCACCAUUUGUAAUUGGCUAGCUAGGUAUGGGUGGGCCGAAGUGAAUUUUAGUAUUUUUGAGAAGUUUGAAUUUUGACCGAAGAUAAAAUUAUGGUGAACCAAAUAAUACAAGUGAAUAUUUACGAUCGAAAAUCAUUUCAUCCAACUCUAUUUCUGGUGAAACAAACACACCCUUGAAGUUUACUCUCGCAAAUUUGUCCCCAGUUGGAUGUCAAUUUUGAUUCGUCUGCGGAUUUUCGGUCUCCCAUGAUAACCUCAUGAGUAAAUUCUAGUAAAAAAAUAUAUAUAUAUCUUUCUAAUUCUGCAAGUUGAACUGGCUCGCCAAAUACGUUGCACGAUUACUUUAAAUUAGCGACUAAAUUAUUACAGAAAAACAGUUAAUAUUCUUAAAUAUAAGAAUAUUAUAAAAGAUACCAUUCUAUACUAUUUUAACCUUUUGAAGAAUAAUGGUUAUUUCAUAUAUUUUAAUAUGGUAUCAGAGCAGGCGAUCCUGAGUUCGAGUCCUGCCAGGCCCUUUAGCAUAAUUAACUUUCUCCCAUUUAAUAUCAAAAAGUCUCGAGCCCAGAUAUGAGGAGAUGUCUUAAAUGUAAGAAUAUAUAUAUAUAUAUAUAUAUAUAUAUAUAUAUAUAUAUAUAUAUAUAUAUAUAGAGAGAGAGAGAGAGAGAGAGAGAGAGAGAGAGAGAGAGAGUUGAGCUAGAAUACUAUCGAUACCAAACGGGCUACGUUGCCAUCCAUUUGUUUUCGAUGAUGGAGCCUCCAAAUCGACGAUCAGCAUCAUUGAAUAUGAUCUAUACCACUUGAAGUGUUUAGAAAUCAAAUUUUAAAUCUUUUCGAUAUCAUUUGCCUAAUGAUCAAAGGGUAUAUAUAUAUAUAUAUAUUAUUUUCUAAUAGCUUAACUUUUUGGAGAAUAGCGGUCGUUUUAUAUAAUUUUUAAUAAAUAUUUUAUAUGCUUCAACAUAGUGUCAGGACAGAAGGUACUGACCAGAGGCCCUACGGCUCAUUUAAUUUUUCACAUUCUUUAAUGAUUUGUCUAAAAUGUACCCUAAUUUGAAAUUUUCAGUUUCUGGAUUGGGUAUAAAGGAGUUGCUUCCUCCAUAUCUUUGGGUGCAUCUCUCACCUGAAGAUCUCCUCACUGGUGUUAGCUUUGCUUCUGGUGCCUGUGGAUAUGACCCCCUAACCUCAGUUCUUGUGGUAAUUAUGCAUUAACUUUUAAUUACUCCCAUAACAUUUUAAUUCUACUUGCUUUCCUUUUUGUUUUCCAAAGUUCUUAGAAAACUUUGUCAAAUCACAUUUAACUGUAGUAAUUUAUAUUUGAAAAAUAAUAGAAUAUCGCAUUUGUUUACAAAAGCAUUGCAUUUGUUCAUCUAUUUAUUAUAUAAUAGAAUGUUAGACCGACGAUGAUCGAGCACUUUGAUUCUGAUACAAUUUUCUAAUAACUUCUUAUAAAUCCAAAAACACAUAAAUUUUAGAUAGUAGAGUAAAAAAUUUCUGAAGUUCAAGCGAACAUUUUAAAAUUUCCGCGUAACUUAACUAAAGUUUACCUAUCUUUACCUAUUUAUUAUUUUUCAGAAUGUUAUAUCCAUGACUGAGCAACUCCAACUGUUCGGAGAAUAUAAGGAAAGAUUGAAGGCCAUCGCAGGCGAGGAGAGGGCGAGAUAUAUCGUCUCCGAGAGCGUGUACCUCGUCUGCACUGGAACCGACGACAUCGCCAACACUUAUUUCACUACGCCGUUCAGGAAAACACACUUCGACAUCCCUUCCUACGUCGACUUCCUCGUUUCUAAAGCUAAAGAGUUCCUCAGGGUAAAUUUAUUCUGUGAACUUCCCGUAAAAGUUUACCCGGGUCACUGAACUUCAAUUUAUUUCAAUCAAUCCAUCGAACUCCUAAUCAUUUUUGCGAUAAAGUACUGAUGCAGCGGCUCAUUUAAUACAGACUGAUUCAGCUGUCGCAUCAUCUCAAAAUUAUUCUUAUUACUUAACUAUCACAUCAUUAUGACGAGAUAUAUUAUUUCGAACGAAAAUUAAAGAAAACUAGCCAAUUGGAACAGAAACAAAAUUGUAAUUUGUCAUUAACUAAUUGAAAAUUUGCUGCUUUCUUCUUUUUUCUUUUCUUUUUUUUGAAAUCUCAGCAAUUACGACAAAUGGGUGCGAAGAAAAUAGGGUUUGUGGGAUUACCCCCAAUAGGAUGUUUACCUUCACAGAGAACACUUGGAGGGGGGAUUUUGAGAGAGUGCGAGCCCAGGCGUAAUGAAGCAGCGCAAUUGUUCAACGCCAGGAUACAAAACGCAAUAUCCGAGCUGAGAAAUGAGGAGAGCUUUAGAGGGGCAAUUGUGGUCUACAUGGGCAUCUACGACAUCUUGAUUGACAUCAUCCAAAGACCUUAUGCUUAUGGUAAGUGCUUCUGCUUAAACAAACAAGUGCUUGUUUGACCGUGCUUCUGCUUUUGCGUUCAGUAUAAGUCACUUGGGUAGUAAUAAAUUAUGUAUGAAGAAGAAAUAAACUUCUAAGCCUCCAAAUUAAGUAGAAUGUCUACUUUUGGCAUGACCAACCAACCAGUCUCAAACCCCACAGAAUAAAGUAUAAAAAAAAGUUAUACUUCAAUCCUCCUAUAUACAAAUUUCUUUACGGAUUGGGUAUAUUCUGGUCACCCUCUGUGGCAUCCGUAUAUAAGCCAAUCAAAAUUUUACAUACAUGCCUACUAGCGUCUCGGUAACUGUGACAUCUCAAGGCUUAGGAGUUAGGAAUACUCACACACCGGAUAGCUAUUGCUAUAUGUGGGAGUAUUUUAAGUCUGAAUAGUCUUAGACUCAAUAACUGGACUCUAACAUUUUGGGCCAGUGGAUUAGGCCCUAUAAGUUAUUGGGUUUAGAGUACAUAAUUAAUCAAACCGCGGACUUAGCGAUGGAUGAUUUGCUGGGAAGCAGAUUGUGACAGUUUGGUAUCGGAGCGAAUUGGCCACUCACAUCGCCUAACGAUCUUGGGCUAUGUAUAUGACUGUUGCGAUUGAGUCCGAUGAGAAUGUCAAGGGAGUAAGCCUGAAUAGGCUAGACUCAAUAACUUAAAAGUACAUUAAGCCUGAUGAAAACAUCAGGGCUAAAAGAGGAUAAGCUUGAAUAAGCUGGACUCAAUAACUGAAGUUAUUAGGUAUAGGAUACCCAGUUAAUCAAGCCGCGGGCUUAGUAAUGGAUGGCCCCGUGGAAAGCAGAUCGUGCCAGCAACAUGUGAGAACGGUAUUUUAGAAACUUCACGAAUAUAAAGACCUUGUUUGACUUUUUUUUUCUUUAUAUCAUUUGGCUUGCAUUGCAGGAUUUGAGGAAACAACAAGAGGAUGCUGUGGUACAGGAGAAAUUGAGGUCACAUUGCUCUGCAAUAGCAUUACUGCGCCAACUUGUCCUGAUGAUACCAAGUUCGUAUUCUGGGACAGCUAUCACCCAACUGAGAAAGCUUACAAGAUCAUCGCCGACGACAUGUUUAGGAAAUACAAUCAACUCUUGUCUUAGAUUGAGUUCGAAUGCGUCGAAAAUUAUUCGGCCAAUCUCUUCCUCGCGCUAUUUAGACAACAAUUACGUAUAUCUGUUGUCGUCGUUUUUCUCUUUUCUUUAGCAUAAAUUUUACGGAAUGGAGUGUGACCGUGAAUGAAUGGGCGCUUGCAGUCACGACAUCCAAUGGAUUUGUUCAGCAAUAAAAUUUAAGAAUAUAUUAUUAUAUUCUUUCCGUUUACGUCAAAUUGUACUAUAUAAGUUAGCAUCAAUGAUUAGAAUAGAAAAGUUGCUCUCUCAGUACAUCCAAUAGUAAUUAAUGGCUUAUAGUAAAAAGAAAAAGAAAAAAAAAAGAUAAUAACACAACCGAACAAGAGCUUUUUAAGCACACACACGCAUACUUUUAGUUCGAAAUGGCAUUCAAAUCUGGAUCCGAUCAGAAAAGAAAAUCUUAUAGUUAUUGUAGGUCUGAGUACAUCGCUUAGAUUGAGCCAAAUGCAAUAAUCUCAAACUGAGACCUGACGGGUAGGGGUGGAAAUGAGCCGAGCUCGAGCGAGCUUAUCUCGGCUCAAAUUCGGCUUGAAAUUAAUUUCAAGCCUAAAUUUAAGCUCAAGCUUGAAUUGAAAUUAAUUCGAGCCGAGUUCGAGCGAGCCUAAUUUCGAGUCGAGCGAGCUCGAGCCCUAAACGAGCCGCUUGAAAUUCUCAACAUCAUAUGAUUAAUAGUUUAAUUUGUAUAGAACAUAAUCUAUAAUUUAAUACAAACAUAUGUGUAAUAGUUCAAAGUACAAAAUAAUUAUAUGAAAUAUAGUAUUAUAAUAUGAAGAAAAAUAAUUUAUGAGUUGAUAUCUAAUUUUUUCAGCCUCACAUGUCUUCUCUUCCGCCUUCAAUCUCCAUAUUAUUCAUUUUCAUUUAUGCGGUCAAAAUUAAAUAAAUUAUAUAGAUAAAUAUUGAAUUAAAUUAUCCAAUCAUCUAUAACUAAAAUUAAAAUUUUAUAUGAAUAAUAAUUUUUUAUUUUAAAAAUAUUCUGUAUAUUUUCUCAAGCAUACAAUUAAUAGCAAGGUAGGCAAUGACGGGUAUAUGCUGUUACUUGGUAACUUGGAGGGCUUCCGGCUUGGCCACUUAGGGUGAGAGACAGAAAAAGAGAAAGAGAAACAUAUUAAAAAUUUAGAGCUCUAUGAAAGAAAAAAAAGAAAAAGAAAAAUGUAUAAAUUUAGUAAAAUUUUGCUCUUGUAUUUGUCUAUUGGGUUUAUUUUUAUGGGCCAACAAUAUUGGCCCAAUUUUACUAUAUUGAGAUUAUUCACUCAGCCUAUAUAUAAUUAAUAUAUAAUUAAAAUAUAUUAUAUUUAUAUAUAUUUUUAAUAUAUAUAUAUAGUGUAGAACUAUUAUGCUAUCGAAAAUAUAGAGGAUUUGAUGUUUUCGAAUUUUUGACCCUUUGAUUAAGAAUUGUUUGGUUGGGAUGACUGCGGUCCCCCUAGGAUUAAAUAAUAUUCUUAGGAUUGAGUGGUCCCUACAAGAUAAUAAUAGUAUUAAUCCAAAGAUAAGAAAUGAUUAAAGGGGUUGAUCUAAGAAUCAAAAAAUCGAAAGCAUCAUAUCCUCUAUACUUUCGAUAGCAUAGUAGCUCUACUAUAUAUAUGUAUUCGAGCUUUUCGAGUUUUUCGAGCCUAAUUCGAGCGAGCCGAGUAAUACUCAAGCUCGGCUUGAAAUGAAUUCCGAGUCUUUUUUUUUGUUCAAGCUCGGCUUAUUUAAUUUCGAGUCGAGCUCGAGCGAGCCAAAUAUCGAGUCGAACGCGAGUCGAACGCGAGCCGGCUCGCUCAUUUGCCAGCCCUACUGACGGGUGGUUAAAAAGAUUUUUUAAAAAAAGAAGAAACUUUAAAUACCCCCAGUGGUUUCGCAUUUUCUCACUUUAGUACCCUGUGAUUUAAAGUGUAUCAAGUUAAUACCCGUGGUUUCGCACUUUCUCACUUUAAUACCUUGUGGUUUCAAAUGUAUCAAAUUAGUACCCUAUGGUUUCACACUUUCUCACUUUAGUAUUCUGUGUAAUAACAAAAAAAUUUGAAACCAUAGGGUACUAACUUGAUACAAAAAUGAAACCACAGGGUACUAACUUGAUACACUUGAAACCACAGUGUACUAAAGUGAGAAAGUGCAAAACCACGGGGUACUAACUUGAUACACUUUAAACCACAGGUUAUUAAGUGAGAAAGUGCGAAACCACGGGGGUAUUUGAAGUUUCUCCAAAAAAAAAAAAAAAAUCCAAACCUUGUGCGGAAUUUAUCGGGCCUCUAAUUUUCGGGCCGGCCCGAUUCGACUAAUCGAGCCUAGUUGGCCCUGACCUUUUAUUUUUUAUUUUUUUUUUAAAGAAUGGACCAUCCAAUUGUUCUCUUUCCAAAUAAAAUUUUUUUGUCCUUACCAGGCCCAUAAUAUAUAAAUUUUCUAAUAUAUAUCAACCAUGAAGAGUCAACAAAUUAUUGUGUAACUAGCAACUAACCCGUGCGAUGCACGGAUUUUAAAUUUAUCUUUUAAUUACAAUUUUUAUAUAAUAUAUAUUAAUUUUUAUAUAUUAAGUUUUUAUUAGAAAAAUUAUUGAAUCAAAUUAAAAUAAAUGCUAUCAUGAUAUACUAAUAGAUUGUAAGUAAAUAAUUUAAAAUAAAAAAAUUUUAAAAUGAAAAAGUAAAAAGGUUCAAAUCCAUUAAAAAUUUAACAUAAUUAUUAUUUAUAUAUUUUUAAAUACACAAUAUUGAAAUGACGAAGAAAAUUAAUUUUAUUUCAAAUUCUUAAUGACUAAUUCUGUAAAGUUAUUUUUUGAAGGAUUUAAAGUGACUAAAUUUGAAAAGUAAUGUUUUUAGAACUUAUAUGUUCUUUUAAAACUAAAAAAUUAUUAUUAUUGUGAAUAAUUAGUCGUGUAUAAUUGAUUAUUUUCUACAAUUUAAUCAAAAUGUAAAUAUAAUAUCAAACACCUCACAAAGUAAUUAUUAAGCAUUUUUGCGAUAGGGCAAAUAUUUAUGCGCUCCGAAAUUUUCAAUACAUGAGAAGUUCUCAAAGCUACUGGUAUGUAAUCCUGAAAAAAAGAAAUAAUACUUACAUUACAGAAAAUCCAAAUCAUUAAAAAAAUUAUUACUUUAUUAUUUAAUAAUUUAAAAUAAGUAAAGCUAUUAUAUGAUAUAAAAUAUAUAAAAAAGUGAGCAAAUUUUACAUAAUAAAAUAAUUUUGGAUAUAUGGUUAUGAUUUCUCAAUUAUUUAAAUAUUUGUAUAAUAAUUUAAUUAAAAUAGUUUUAUAUAUACAUAGUAUAUAUAAUACUAUAUAUAUAUAUAGUAUAUAUAUAUAAUCGCAAAAAGUUAAAUAAAAUUAAAAACAAAUCCUGGAUUUCACGCCGCCUCGCCUCUUUCUAUGACGGCCACCUCGCAUAUCCUGAAGUGAGUAAAAGUAAAACGCGGCGAGGAGUCGUUAGAAAUAAACCUCCAAAAGAGAAUAAGAGAAGAACUAUAAAGUGAAAUAGGCUCCAAUCAAGAAAGAAGUGGAAAAAAAAUAACUGUGUGCAGUUAAAAAAAAAAAUAUAAUGUGCAUUAAAAAAAAAUUUAUUAUGAUUUAUUAUUUUAAUAUUAAAAAUAAGUAAGCUAUUAAUAUAUUAAAAAAUCAUGAUAAAAGAAGACCAAUUUUACAAUAUAAAAUUGAAUGUUGGUUUGUAUGGUUUGUUUUCUUCUAAUUUUUAAAUAUUUGUAUAUAAUAAUUAAAUUAGUUUAUGUAUUAAUUUGGUUGUAUAGGUUAGAUUUUUAAAAUACUUAUAUUUGUAUAAUAAUUUUUAAUUAAAAUUAGUUGGUAUAAUUCUCUAAAUUACUUAAAUAUUAGUAUACAAUUUAAUUAUAGUUGGUUGAUCUUCUUCUAAUUACCGAUUAAAUAUUUGGUAUAAUUAAAAUAGUUGGUGUAUAAGAUAUAUAUUAUAGAUAUAUAUAUAUAUUAUUAUAUAUAUGAUGUAUAUAUAUUAUGAUAUAUGAAUACUCGUAUAUAUAUAUGCCGAAUUGCACUUGGAACACUUACUUUUGUAAAGUGCGCCAUCGGGCCAAUCAUAUGUUCAAAUUGGAACAAUCGUCUCCAAAUAAUAUAUAUUAUAUAUGAUAUCCUAUGCUUGUUAUUAUAAAUAUUGUCAUAAAAAAAGAAGGGGAAAAGAAAAAAAAAAAUGAACUUUAAGUUCAUAGCAAGUUUUCUGUACAUAUUUCCAUAAAAACCACGUAAAACUGACAAAAGAGAAAAAGAAUAUGUAAAAAAAAAUGUUCAAAAAGUUUAUAGAAUUUUUCGGGUGAAUCAAUUUUGCGAGCUAUGUUUUGUUUAUGUUUGUUAAUACAGUUAUUGAUGCUCUGAAUGCCAAAAAUAAUAAAUUUGUUGAUAUUACUGAAAUCAAAAAUGGCAAUUUAUCGUUUGUUUUAAAAAUAAAAAUAAUACAGAUUAGCAAUAAAAGAAUUUAAAUAUGGUGUAUAAAUUAUAAAGUUAACGAUCAUUCAAAAGAGCUAUUACAAAAAAAAAAAAAAAAAUACAGUGUAGUAAAUGAAAAAAAAAUCUAAUAUAUAGUGUAGGAGGAUGUAAUUAAGUCUAUACGGAAAGAAAAAAUCACAAAAUGAAAAAACAAAUAAAUGUGGUAUAGUUAUUAAACACUUAAAUAUAAAAUUACAAAAUAACAAAACAAAAAUAUAUAAAUUAAGAAAUUGUAAAAUGUAAAUACGUUACAGCGUACGGUGGUAAUUGAAAUUUGCCCAAUAAAAAGACAAAAACGCACGAAGAUGGAUGGGGUAGGAUCACCGAUGACUAUUUUAUUAUUAAAUCUAAAGUUUAAUAAUAAAAUAGUCGUAACACUAAAAAUAGUAGGCUCGAGGACGAAGGGUUCUAUACUCAUAAGAGUAUAGUAACCCUACUCUAUAUACUCUUAUAAGUAUUCCUUCCUCUUCAUAAAUUGUUUUCGAUAAUGGGGCUUUCGAAUCGACGAUCCACACUGUCAAAAAUGAUUUAGAGUAUUUAAAAUUUUUAAAAAAUAAAUUUCGUAAUUUUUUGAAAUCAUUAUAAAGUUGGGGACUGAUGGUGCAAUUAAAAAUAUAUGCGGACCCCACAAGCCCCCCGAGGAGAGAUUUUUUUUUAUAAUAUUAAUUUCAAAUUUAAAUUUAAAAAUCUAAAUUUUAUUUUUGAAAACUAAAGUGAAAAAUAUGCAAAGUUUAAAGACCAAAAUUGACAUAUAAAAAAAACCAAGCAGACGUUGACAUGACAAUUUUAUUGAUUAUAACACAUUUUUUAAUGGUUGGGGUGUAAUCUCAACGAAAUCAAGAGGAUUGAUAAUUUGAUUGAAAAAAAAAAUAUUAGAGACCAAAAUAAAAAUUAGUGUAAAAGUUGGGGACUAAUUGUGUAAUUAACCAUUAAUAAAAAUAUAUGUGGGCUCCACAAGCUCCCCAAAAUAAGGAGGGGCCUUCUUUAGCGUUCCUUUGUCAUGUAUUUUAUAGAAGAUAGAUAGAUAGAUAGAUAAAUAUUUUAAUUUUAAGAUUAAUUUCAAAUUUAAAUUCAAAAUUUUGAAUUUUUAUUUUUGGAAAAAAAAGUGAAAAACACACAAAAUUUAGGAACUAAAGUUGACAUGCAAAAAAAAGCUAAAUAGGUGAUGGCAUGAUAAUGUCGUUAAUUCUAAAACCUCUUUUAACAACGCCAUUGAAAGUUUGAUUGCAAAAAAAAAAAAAGAUUAGGGACCAAAAUAAAAAAUAGUGGAGGAUUGGGGACCAAUGUGCAAGAGAUUUGAAAUUUUGAUUGCAAAAAAAAAUUAGGGACCAAAAUAAAAAAUAGUGAAAAUGUUGAGGACCAAUAUGCAAUUAAUUUUAAAAAAAAUUGGAUGUGAGCCCCACAACUCUCCAAAAUAAAGAAAGGCCUCCAAAACGGUUGGGGAUUCAUGUAUUUGAUGAUAAUGUCGUUAAUUCUAAAACUUUUUUUAACAGCGCCAUUGAAAAUUUGAUUGGAAAAAAAAAAAAAGAUUAGGGACCAAAAUAAAAAAUAGUGAAAAUAUUGGGGACCAAUUUGUAAAAGAUUUGAAAAUUUAAUUGCAGAAAAAAAAUAGGGAUCAAAAUAAAAAAUAGUAAAAAGAUUGAGAACCAAUGUGCAAUUAAUCCUUAAAAAAAUUGAAAUUGAGCCCCACAACUCUCCCAAAAUAAAGAGAGGCCUCCAAAGGCGUUGAGGAUUCAUGUAUUUGAUGAUGAUAGGCUACAGUAAUAUUAUAUUGCAAAAUAAAAAAAACAAUUAUAAGCGGUUAAAGGUCAAUGAUCUUAAUUAUGCAUUUAACAAAGAGUAGUGUUUCUAUACUUGUUAUUUUUCGAUACCGUUCAUUUAUUUCUAUUCAACGAUUCAAAUUUAAUUUUUUUUUAAUUAUGACCUGCAAUAGCAAGUCACUAUGAAAGAGAUAUCGGUUACUAGAUACCCGAAAGAGGGAUGUUCUGCACUGUUACUACAUGGAUAAUUUAGUAAUUUUACCUCUAUUAUAUUAUCAAAAUUCUCUUCUCUCUUUGUUUUCUUUUUCUCUCUCUAUCUUUAGUAGAGAUGUAAAGGGGGUCAUAUUCGAGGAGGAUAUUUAAAACCUGAAUCCGACUAUUAAAUCCGAAACCCAAACCCAAAUCCAUAUUCAAUGAAUUUUAGAAAAUCAUGUCUACACGCGUAUCUGACUUAAAUCCGAAAUCCGAACCCUAGCUUGAACCUGAAAACCCGAACCCCAAACAUUAUUCCUCUUUACAAUAUUUCAGAAUAUAUUCCUAAUCAAUUACCCACAUUCAAUUUUUUUUUUAAAUAGCGAUACAAAAUUAAUGUCUAAACUAGAAAAGUUUUAAAAUUUUUUAAAACAUAUUAAAUAUGUUGAAUUUAAAUAUUUAUCCAAAUUCAAUAUUUUUUAAAUUAGUGAUACAAAAUUAAUAUCUAAACUAGAGGAAUACAAAAAUUUCCUAAACAUAUUAACUACGCUGAAUUUAAAUAUUUAUCAAUAUUACCAAUUUUUUAAAAUAAUAAUACAAAAUUAAUGUAAAAUAUAUUAAAUAUGUUGAAUUUAAGAUUUUAGCGUGCAUAAUUUUUAUUUUAAGAAUAAAUUUGAAUUAUACCCAAUAUUCCUAAUCAAUUACCACAUUCAAAUUUUUAUAAAUAGUGAUACAAAAUUAAUGUCUAAAGUAAAAAAAAUUCUAAAUUACAACAUAUUAAAUAUGUUGAAUUUAAAUAGUGGUACAAAACAUUACAACAUAUUAAAUACGUUGAAUUUAAUUUUAUUUUAUUUUUUUACCUACAUUCAAUUUUUCAUCACUCCUACAUUAAUAAUUUGUCGAUAUUUAACCAAUUAAAUUAAGUUGAAGAAUUUAAGUAAAUAAUUCAGAAAGCUCGAGUAUGAAAUUGUAACAAAUUAAAAUUUGAUGACCAACGUAUCAAGCGCCUAAUAGUUACUUUGACGAAAAAAAAAGUAAUUUACCCAAAAAUACACACCUCAACUUCAACUCUUCUGUUGAGAUGUACCCUUAACCCAAAAGUAAUAGUUAUUAGCUUUUGAUUUUCUAAAAUAAAGCAACUUUUGUCAAAUUUAUCGAUAAUUUUAACAAGUUAAAUAAAUUUAACUAUUCUUUAACAAAUUAAAUUAGAGCAAGUUGUUUCUGAUAGUUAAUAGAAACAUCAAAAUUAACGAUAUUUUAAAUUAAAGUAAUUAGCAUAACUCAACUAAAUUUUUUUUAAAAAAAAAAAGUUAAAAGAAUCUAAAUCUAAAUCUAAACAUAGUAAAAAGUAAGAAAAAAGGCCAUUUGCAAAUGGUGUAUAGUUCAGAGGUUCUCCAUACUAUAUUGAAAAAUACAAAAAACAAUUAUCUAUUAAACAUAAUGAAUCCACAAUAUUUCUUGCCACGUGGCAAGAAACCCUUCAUUCUUAGGUUAAUAGAUAAAAAAAAAAAAACCCACUUUGAGUCAAAUCAAUUCUCUAAAAAAUAAUAACCCACUUUGAACCAAACCAAACAUAAUGAAUUCACAAUAUUUCUUCCUCUUCCUAUGGUUUCUCUUUUCAUCUCUCUUACGUUAUAUUUAAAAGUUAUCUUAAUUUGUUAGUAGUGGGGCUCAUUAUUUUUUAAUUAAUGUGAAAUGUUUCUUCUUCCUACGCCUUCUCUUAUCAUAUCUCUUACUUUUAUUUUUAGUUAUAAAUGAGAACAAUUGCUAAUUAAACAUUGCUAAAAAAGAAAAAAAUAUUAAUUAAGUAAGUUACACAUUCAUAAAUCAUAUUGCUAAUUGAUAAUUUAGAAGGUCACCCGUUAUCUAAAAUUAAAUUUUGAACUUUAAUUGGGGUGAUUAAUAUGGAGAAUUAAUAACAAAUGAAUAAGAGAAAUUGAUGGGAAGAGAAAUAGUUGAGAAAAAAAAAAAGGGAAUAGUAAGAUAAAUCAAAUGAUAAAUGAUCAUUUAGAAAGUCACAUAGGCAUCUCUUUUUCUCCCCCUCACCCCACCUAAGUAUCACAUACGUCGCCCGCCUUCGCUCCACCACGGACUCCCUCGCCUUUCACUCCCCCACAAGAAGACCCUUUUCGAUCAACAUCUGAAGCCCCUCCUUCGAUCGCUCCCACUCCUUCCCCAACGAUCCCAAUCCUGAUUCCUAUUUGGUCUUUAUUUAUUACUUUUUAAAUUUCAUUUUAUAAUAUUUUAGUUUACUCUUUUUUUGUUUGCUCUAGUAUUGAUUUUAAGUCAGUAGAUGAUUGCUCCAAAUUCUAUGUCCCAUAAAUAAAAACUAAUUUGCGAAAGGAAUAAUAUGUAAGUACUAUGUAAAUUUCAAAUUUUGCAUAAUUUGGAGUUUUUUAUGAUUUUUUAUUAUGUGAGUUUUAUAUUUUUUUGGUUAUGUUAUUCUGGACUCGAUGCGUAUAUUUAAAUAAUUUAGUGAAGAUGAAUAUAUCUGCUAUAAUGCUCGGGUCACUUUACUAUUGAUUUUUAAGAGAAAUUUGAUUUGCGUCAAAAAAAGAAUCGGACGGAUGAAUCUAUUUAUUUGAUUUGUUAAAUGUUAAUUUAAAUCUUUUCAGUGUGCUCUUUAAUAUUUGUUANNNNNNNNNNNNNNNNNNNNNNNNNAACACCCCAACACACCCACACAAAAAGAGAUCUCCAGAGUACAGUAGAAGAUAUCUGCCAGCCACACCACACCACCCACACCAUAAGAAGCUUUCGACUCCUUCUCAUCCGCGAAGGGUGUUCUUUGAAUGUUAGGUUUAGCGGACAUGUAUCCUUUGAAGCACACUCCUUUUGUCCGUUCAGAUCACUUGCGCCGGCAGGCCUCCACUCAACGCUUCCUCCUCUUCUUUCUCUGCAUCUUCGGAAAGCUUCUCCCAUCUCCCUGUCAUCUCUACUAACAAACAAAAUAACAGAAAAAUACAAGAAGAAGAGAGCUAGACUUCAAAAGGAUCUGUGAGUCAAGCCUACCUGCUACUGGCCGUAUUUACAGACGUGAUGUGUAGUGUAGAUCUACGUCCUGAUCAACAAAUGAUGUCGGGCCCAUCAACUUGAUUGUUGUCAAUUCCACAGUUUCACCGAGAUUAGAUGAAGACAAAUACAAAGCUAGAACUAUUCACAGCCGUUCCGUUCAGCCAGCUCCUUUGCGCGUCGCUGAAUUUUUCCGAAAGAGAAGCCAGAGAUAUUCCUCGCGACAUAAUUCACGAAAUUGUCAACAGUUCAUUGCCGUGCAAUAUACUUAAAUAUGAAUAAAAAACUUAUACAUUUAUUUUUUAAAUACUACGAGUUAUUUAUCUUUAUAUCUUAAUUUUAUAUUUUAACUAAUUCUGUUUUUAAAGAAAUCCGAAUUUUCAGACAGAAAUUUAAAAAUUAAAAGCGGAAUUUUAAUACUUUAUUAAGUCCGACGUGGAGAUUUUCCGAAGCCGAAGUAAACUAACACUGAUGGUGAGAGAGAGGUCGCUGGGAUACGUGAUUCCUAACAAAAAAGACAACAUUUGUGGGCAAAAUAAUACAGAUGAGCAAUAAAUUUUAUCGCCACUAUACCAUAGUUACUUAUUGUCGCGCUCAACGUAAGAGAGUGCCAACUGAUAUAGUUUCACCCCCGAUAAAAAUGGUACGAUCACUAUUAUGCUUUGUUUGUCACUAAGAUUGCUCGGAAUGAAUUAUUUAUUUCGCGACUUAAAGACUUAGUUAUACUAAGCCCGCUAGAAGGCGCAAAACAAAAUGACCGGACCCGAGAGAGACUUAUAUAUUUGCAGAGGCGGGAUGACAUUGAGCUCGCGCUUGCCCUUGUCCUUUCUCGACCAUCCACAUCAAUCCCGCGUCCGAAGAGGCAUCAGAAUCAAUUCAUCACACACUGCUAUAUGCGAUCAAAGGAAAAUCGAUGCCUACAUAUAACAUUAACUCAAAGUGCAGCAGAUAACAAAAAAAAACCGUCAGAUUAGACAAUUCCAAAUAGAAAGAGCCAGAACUAGAGCUGGUACAUAAUAGUGGAACGAGAGAGAAACAUCGCAUAGAGAUCGAGAAAGCACGAAUCCGGGUCACUGCAAUGGAAGGAAUAACGAUCAGGCAACGCUUCACCUAUACUUGGGGAAAGCACACACUGCUAUCGGUUCCACCGAUAGAUUGAGCAGGCUGCCUAACAUUAGGAUCCUGUUUGGAGAUUAAUUAGAGUUAUAAGGCAAGUGCUCCCAUCUGAAUUCAAGUGUCCAAGCUGUAAGUGUCACAUGAUGUUGCAGCACUGAUGACUCAACAUGGUCAUUCCCCCUCGCAUGCAUAUCCAUUUAAUUUGAUUCAUGACAAGCCCUAACUAAAUAAUUAAAACUACUAGCAAUAAAUUGGAGGCAUAUAAUUUAAUUAUGCUUUCUUUUUCUUCAUUUAUCAAUAUAAGAUAUUAUAAUUCCGUAAUCCAAUGGUCUGACUACUAACGUAUCGGUCACACCCAGUCGCACUCUAUAGUAUCUUUAAUUCCUAACCAUAUGUGAAACCUAUCUGAGCUGAGCCACUUUCUGCGAUUAAAAAUCAAAUUAAUUUUUCUGAAUAAAUUACAUACUUUGAAAACUUCAUUUGUUGUUUCUGAACAAUUCAAAUAGGCUGGAGUAUUUUCAUUGAUUGAGCAUGCCGAUUUGAUGAUCAAGCAGCAAACAGACGAGAGCAUUUGAACUUCGAGAUUUCUUCAGAGUAUUUGUUAUUUAGACCAUGAUCCGAGUGUUCUUUUCUUCCCAAUUAAACAUGAUUUUGGAGUGGUUUUGUCACUCAUUUAAGAUUCAGUGUAGCUCAUCGGAAAGAUUCACUUCCACUGUGAUACUAAACAAAAAGUUAUAUCACUAAUCAUGGGUGCGAUUAAUUACCUUCGAUAAAUCACACGAGGGAAGAGAAUUUGAAUGCUAAUUCCUUUUGAAGUCAAAAUUAGUAUUAAAACAUCGAAUAUUAAAGGAUCCAUUUCAGAUAGAAGUUAACACAUCAAUUAAACUUAAUCUCAGAUGGCGAUUUUAUUUCUCCUACCAUCUCAAAAUCCAAAUAAUUAAUAGCUAUAAACUGUAGCCACUUUAGAAUAAGCUCUUUAAAUGGCCAGUUCCUCCUCUAAACUGAAAUUACAAGCAUUAAUUAUCAUUAUUUUACAAAAAAUCAUAUGAUUUUAUAUUAAGCUAAAUGGCACGAAUACAUGCGAAGGCUUAAUUAAUUAGUGCUAGGCAAUCUAAUUGAAAACUUAGUAAAAUUCCAAACCCAUGAUGAUUGAGACUAUUAACAUAAAAAUCCGCUUGAUUUAGACUAGAAAACAAACCCCUGAACCUUUUUGGUGUUUUAAAUCAACUACUCGUCGGUUUGACUUAAUCAUAUGACUAAUACAGUUAUAGAUUAGUUUGAUUAAUAAAGUAUGCAAAAUAGAUUUAGAUGCACUAAGGGCUAUGUUUGAAUUCAAGGGUGAAUUGGAAGAAUAAAUAAAAUGGUGAAUGAAUUGGAAUGGUAAUUCUGAAUGACCCACUCCCCCAGAGUACUGGUUUAUUGCGGAUUGGGAAUUGGAUAAGAUUAUCACCAUUGUCAUGUUUGGUUGUACUAAACAAAAAAAUUAUCUAGAGAUGGCUAUAAACUAAUUUAGUUCUCAAAUAUAAAUUUAUAGUUAUUAAAGUUUAGAAAAAUAUAAUACUAGCUAUUCUCGUAAUUAAGUUUUUCAAAAAAAAUAUCAAAUUAUUUUUAAAAACUUUACUGUGAUGGGUUAGGGAUUGAGGGUGAGAGAGAAUAGUUUUUUUUUUUUUGAUGAGAAAGGUUGAAGAGAAAGAGUGGUGAGAUGGUUACAUAAGACUUGACGAGAAUCUUAGGGGGGUCUUCCGAAAUUAAAUCUCAAUCCGGACGUAGAAGACCAGAAAUUCAAGUUGAAGGCUAAUGGGUUCAUCUCCCCAUUCCAGUCUGGAAUCAAGAAAAUCCUCCACCAAAUCCGAUGUCAUCGCGGAACGCAAACCAAAAUUAACCGGAUUUGAUCAAACUGAUUUCCAUUCCAUACUGAUAAAUGGAUGAACCACGAAGCCCCUAAGUGUUUUCACACGCUCGUGAAUUUGGCACUUGUGCAUUAAUUUGUUAAAUCAUAUAAAGAUCAUUGCUCUUGUAACAGGCUACUAGUUAGGUGAUCCGCGGAGCAGCGGAAAAAAAAAUUGUAAUAAAAAUUUAAAAUUAAAUAAAUAAUAUAAAUGUAAAUAAUGAAAAAAGAAUAUAUAACCAUAUUGAUUAGACUUAGUAGAGAGAAGAAGAGACGAGAAGAGAGAGUAAAAUGGAAUCAACAACUUCAACGAAAAAUACUGAAAAAACCGAAAAAAGAAAGUAGAAUUAUGUGAGAAGAAAAAAUUGUUAAUAGAUACUAUAAAAAAAAAUGUUUGAAUCUAGCAGUGAAAAGAUUUUUUGGUUAUUCUGGACUCGAUGCGUAUAUUUAAGAUAAUUUAAUGAAGAUGAAUAUAUUUUAUUUUUUUACUGAUAAUUUAUUAUUUUUAAAUUUUUAACUUUAAUAGUAUCUAUCUGCUACAAUGCUCGGGUCACUUUACUAUUGAUUUUUAAGAGAAAUUUGAUUUGCGUCAAAAAAAGAAUCGGACGGAUGAAUCUAUUUUUUUGAUUUGUUAAAUGUUAAUUUAAGUCUUUUCAGUGUGCUCUUCUUGCUAGAUUUCAAACAUUUUUUUUAUAAUAUCUAUGUAAUAAUUUUUCUUCUCACAUAAUUCUUACUUCAUGUUUGCUGCAUUGAUCAUCAAAUCGGAUGCUCAAUCAAUGAAAAUAACUCCAGCCCUAUUUGAAUUGUCGAAAACAACAAAUGAAGUUUUCAAAGUAUGUAAUUAUUCAGAAAAAUUAAUUUGAUUUUUAAAUCAGAAAAGUGUUAGAUGGUUCCAUUGUUAGGAUUAAAACUAUAAGAUGGACUUGGACGUACCCUACUAAUUAUAAUAAGUUAUAUUGUAAUGAAGAAAAAAGAAACAUAAUAAAUUAAUGCUCCAAUUAUAUUGUAGCUAGUUUAAUUCAUUAGUUAGGGUGUCAUGAUCAAAUUAAAUGGAUAUGCAUGUGAUGAAUUAAAUGGAGCACCUAUAACUCUAUAUUAAUCCCCAAAAUAAUCCAUGUGGCAGCCUCUCAUCUAUCGUUAACCGUUUCUCUUCCCCAUGUGACAGUUUAUCGUUCCCAUAUGACCGUUUCUCUUUCUCAUGCGACUAUUUCUCUUUCACAUUUGUUGUGAUUCUUCUUCUACUUAUUUCAUUGACUUUUUUUUUAUUAUCUUGCCUUUUUUAAUGUAGAUUGGUGGUGACUGAUUGAUCUGAUGCCUUCUUCAGCGUGAUAUGAGUCGAGGACGCCAAUAUCAUCCGCUCCUCCCUCAAUUAAUCGGUGGUCAAUUUUUUUGUCGCUACGGUAGAUAACCAAAUAGUGACAAUAAAAUAAUCAUUCAGUAACAAAAAUAGUAUUACCAUUUUUAGUUAACUAAUCAGUGACAAUUUUUUUUAUCGCCACAAUAAGUAACUAUAUAGUGGCGGCAAAAUUUAUCGUCAUCUUAUUUUUGCCACAAAUGUUGUCUUUUCUUGUAGUGACACUACUAUCCACGACCUCCUCUCUACCCUCAUAGUUAGUUAAUUCGGAUUCGGCAAAAAUUCGGUACGGAUAUAAUACGUAUAAAAUUCGUUUUCUAAUUUUUAAAUUCGUUGAAAAAUUCGAUUUAAAAAACAGAUUCGAUAUAAAAAAUAAAAUAUAAGAUAUAAAAUAUAAAAUAAUUUAUAUUUAAAAAUAAAAUUAUAAGUUUUUUAUUCAUAUUUUCAAUAAUUCGGCAAUAAUUCGCGAAUAAUUCGUGAAUUAUUCGCGAAUAAUUCUCUUUCUUUCGAAAAAAUUCGUAAACGGACCGUUUAAUUCGGAUUUUCAAUAAUUCGUGAAUAAUUCGCGAAUAAUCCGCGAAUUUUCUAACUAGAUCUACACUCCACAUCACCGUCGUAAACGGCCGCGUCGAGGUCAGCUUCGUUUAAUUGCUUCUUUCUCUCUUGUGAUUUUUUUGUUACUUUUUUUGUUAGAGAUGAAGGAGAUGGAAGAGUUUCCGAAGAUGCAGAGAAAAAGAGAGGAGAAGAGUUGGUGGAUAUGGUGGAUGGUGUACUCGAAUCUGUAGUCGAGAAUGAGAAUAAGGUUCCCGGCAAUGUCGGUGGUAGUGGUGGCGACGCAGCCUCGUGCGAUUGCAGCAGCAUAGGACUCCACUAUUAAUAGGAGUUAGAGGUGAGGGUUAGCAUUCCAACGCGCUAAUCGCCCCGUCCAUAAUACCUUCUUUGUUUUUAUUGAUGAAUACUUUUUAUUUUUUAUUGGUAGCUUCUAUACUUUUCACCUGGUGUGAAACACGGGUCUUUUCAUUAGUUCUUGAUUAAGAUGUUUUGUCUCAACCUGACGGAGACACACAACCACCCUCAUUUAUGCAUUCAUUGCCAUCUAAUUUUAUUUAUGCACACAAACUACUCCCUUCUCAAUCAUAAACUUAUUAGGAAACUAUGUAGUUGUGAAAAUUGUAUAAAGCUUGUGAGCUCGUUAAUGAACAUGUUCACUUUUUUCUUGGUUAAGGAUUAGGAGAAAAAGACUAUUGGGGAAAAGUUGAGCUUGAGUGCUUUCCGGAAGCACCGAGAUUUUUUUUUAUUUAUGAUUUUACUUUGUUUUUUAUGAUGAGACAUCGAUCUGAACAGAUAAUGGACAUCGUUAGACAACUGUAGUUUACAAUUCUAUUUGUAAUAGUUAAGGACUAAAUUUCGUGAUUUUUCAUUACUUUUUAACCUUAUGACUGGACGGUUUGAAAACGAAGAGCUGAAAACGAAAUUAUCAAAAAGAUGAUGCGAUUCUUAAACUUUAUACCAGAAACACUAGUCUUACUCUAGAGAGUGAAAAGAGCUUUUCGACAAAUUUCAGCUAAUAAAUUUGUAUUGUUUUCCAUACUUACUAAUUAAACUUAUAACUAGCUCAUAAACAUCAUCAAAAUUGUUGAUUUUGACAACUUUCAAACAUUGAACACGUAAUGUUGAAAAAAAAUAUAAAAGUGAGGCUUCUAAAUACUUCAAAUUAUGUAUAUCAUGCCUAAUAAUAUCGAUCAUCAAUUCAGAUAUAUCUUUAUCAAACUCAAAGUAAUAAUAUGGAAAUUCCUAUCCUUUCGGAAACACUGCAACUCAACUCCUACGUGGCGAAGAAAGUAUCACAGUGAAUAGACAUAAUUAAAAACUACUAUAGGACUAUGCCACAUGCAACAACUAUAUAUGUAUAUAUGAAAUACAACAAUUAUAUAUAAUCAAUGUAGCCUUAAAUUGCCAACCCUAAAAUUUGUUGGCGUUCACCAUUACUUUGCAGAGCCAUGCACUUCUAUAAAUAGAAAGGAUUCUUCAUGCUUCUAUUUUAAAGCAACCCAAACUAGAGAGUGCAUGCACAACAAAUAAUACAUUUUAUAUAUAGAAGAGAGAAAAUGGGGGAAUGUUGUAAGAGGACCUUGUUGAGUGCUUCUUUUGGCCAUAGAGAAUACAUUGUGCUAUUUCUAGUGAUGUUUCAGCUUGUUAGGGUUUUAGGGUACACUUCGAAUAAUCGGAUGAAGGUUCCCGCUAUGUUCACGUUCGGCGAUUCGAUCAUCGACCCAGGUAACAACAACCACCGCGUGACCUCGGCGAAGUGCAAUUACCCGCCCUAUGGUAAGGAUUUCAUCGGGCACCAGCCGACCGGGAGGUUCUCGAAUGGAAAGCUCACAACUGAUUUCCUCGGUGCGUAUACUUAUGUGAGAACAAAAAUGUGAGACGUAUGUAAUUUGAUGUUAAGUUAAUUUUCUUGAGUUUUUUGUGGUGGUACAUAUGUGGGCUUUGGCUUUGUGAGAACAAUAGGGGAAGCCAUAAAAAUCUAACUGAAUCUAGUGAUGUUUUUGGGUAGACAUACUAGUUUGAGUUUGGAAUAUAGGUAUGGACGUGAAUUAACCCACCUAUGUUCUCUCGUUUCACGUGCAUGAAGGAAAUUAGCUAUACUUUGGAAGAGAAGUACCUAUCUUUGAGCUAGAAUGCUAUCGGUAGCAAGCGGGCUCCUUUGCCACCCAUUUGUUUGCCAUGAUGGAGCUUUCAAAUCGACGAUCGGCACCGUUGAACAUGAUCUAUAUUACUUGAAGUAUUUAGAAAUUAAAUUUCAAAUCUUUUCGACAUCAUUUACCUAAUGAUCAAAGGGUUUCAAAAUUAGUAAUUUUAAUGGUUGAUAUGAGGGGUUUUCUCGUUUAACGGUGUAAAGCUAUUCAAAUCAUUUGAAUUUUGGUUAGAAAAUUCUUUAAACUAUUUAGAACAAGAUCUAUACUCUCGAUCAUGAUUACAAAAUUUCUAUCAUCACUUUUUAGAGGAUAUUCAUUUUCAGUAAUUCAUUUUUACGCCCACUUGAUGGACAAGAAAACAAUAUCGGAAAAGUAUGAAAUUUAAUUUCUAGAUACUUCAAGUAGUAUAGAUCAUUUUCAACGGUGCCGAUCGUCGAUUUUGAAGGCUCCAUCAUCGAAAAAAUCGGUGGCAAUGGAGCCGUUUGCUACAGAUACAUUCCA
rnacentral:lncRNA from 1 species